GGUAGACAGUGGAAAGAAACUGCCUGAUAUAGAAACAGGAUGAUGUGUUUGUUUUGUUUUGUUAGGGGGGAAAAUAUAGCAUGUGGCACGAGUCCCCUCAAGGAACACCAGAACCAGAAAGAGAAACUCUGUUCUAAUCCACCGUCCCUCCAGGGCCUCUGAGACAGGUAAGCUGUGCUACCUAACAAGGGAGAAAUAUUCACAGCUGGGUAAUUUGGCCUCAGCAAAGCAAGGGUACAUGUCACACAUGAGAGAGACAGAGAGAGGAAGAGAGGGAGGGAGGGAGGGAGAGAGAUGAGAAUAUCUAGGAAGACGGUAUUUUAACAAUAGUAUCUAUGUACAUUUUUUUUAUCAUUUCUAAAACUUUAAUUAUGACAUAGUAUUUUUUUUUUAUUUUAACUUGGAUGGAGAAAAAAAGGGAGGAGGUAAAGAAACUGCAUACUAUUUAGAGUAUUUAAGGCCUCUAAAAAUUCCUAAGUCUGGUCCUAAGAAUUGAUUAUCAUGAGCGACCCAGUCGUGAGGACAAAGAUGGGGCCAGGUUCCUGGAGUGGGGAUCUGAGGUUGGACUUUGGUCUCAGGAGAAGAUCAGGAACCCAGUCAUCAGUGGGGCCAGGUUUGGAGUCUGGAAUCAGCAGCAGGAUAGACUAAGGCGGCCCCGGGCUGUGUGUGUCCUAUCUGGCCUUCCCAGGUCCACUAAUGGUCCUGCUUGUUUCACAGCCUUGAGAUGGGCUGGUCUUCUCUAAUGAACAGUCAGGGGUCUCAGCUGAGAAUGAAAGAGAGCGAAGGAGAUGUGGAAGCCAGGAACAUCCUGGACAAGUCUGGAACAUCCUUCUGAUGGUUUACAGAUGAGCAAAUGGGAGGGUCGUAGAGGGAGACAAUUUCCUGCAGCUGUGCAGCCUGAACUCUGCCACUCUGGGAAAAUGCAGACACAAUCUAGGGAGGACUGCCAGGUCCCAGGUGUGGGACAGCAUCCUGUGCAUGUGCUGCAUUUCCUUGGGACCAUGGAGCUAAUUCCAAGCCUGACAGUGUACCCCAGGCUAUGUUUACAUUUUUUUUGUAAAUAUGCAUUAUUUAUUGUAAAAUUAAUGUUUUAUAUUAUUACUAAAUUACCUAUAAAAUAUUUACAUGGGAAAAUUUUUUCUGAAGAUUCUAUAUUCUGAAUAUUGCUAUAUUCUAUAUAUUCUAUAUUCUGAAUAUACUCUGAAUAUAUUCUGUAUUUUGAAUAUCACUGCAUACUGGACUGGGAAUCAGGAGAUCUGGGUUUGGGUUCUGGCUUUUGACUGUGAGGCUCUGUGAUUUUAGGCAAGUUCAUUCAUUUCUCUGAUUUUCUCAUGUGCAAAAUAAGGAGGCAGGACCAUGGACCAUCCAAGAUCUUUUUCAGCCAUAACACUGUAUGGUUCAAUUCCUCUAGACAGGUACAAGACAGGCAGCCCUCCACGUGCAGCAAUCUGUGAGCCUUGUUAGUGUUUCCUCCAAGCACAUAAAGGAGCAUGUGCCAGCAGGAAGAAGCUUAUCCCAGUGUGGAUCAGAGAGAGACCUCUAAACUGCAACUAUAGAAGGAAGUUGGGAAUGUAAGGAGUCAACCAGUGGCUAAGAAUAUGGGCUUCAGAGAAAGGCCCCUUUGUGUGUGAGCGCAGUUUUGCUGCUCAUUGUUUUAUAAUCUUGGGCAAUUUGUUUAAUCCUCUGAACUUUGAAGACCUUCUCUGCAAAAUGAAACUAAUACUAAAUAUUCCUGGAGGUGUUCUGAGGAUUAUUUUGGUUAGAAAUGUUAAAUGCAUUUUUCAGUUGAUAUGGCAUCUGAUAAAGGCCCAGUAAACUUUAAUUAUUAUUUUUUAUUACUGAUUUAUCCAAGAAUCAACCAUGAGACAACAAAUCCCCUUCCAUCUCCUCAAAGAUGUCUAUCAAAUUCUCGCCCACAGAACCCUUCUGGAUUCCAACAUAUUUAACUCUGUGUUCCUUUACCCACUGACUUGUUGUCAUAUAAAAUAGAUCAUAAUUAUAGAUAAAAAGGUAAUAAUUUGUGGAAUAUGCUAUUAGUCCACACCAUUUGAAUAUAAUUUUAUGAUUAGCCAUUAUGUUAACUUUUUAUUGCAAAUUCUAGGAAGAUUUGAACCACAUAGUGAUUGAUGUUAGAGCAUCUUGUUCUGGUUUUCAUGAGAUAAUAUUCAUUGAUGUUUAUUAUCCUUGAGUUAUUAUUUAAAGUGUAUCUUUAAGUGUCCUGAUUUAGACAAUAUUUGCUCUAUUUAAGUUAAUUAGAUGUUAGGUUGAUGGUUAUCUCUACUUAGAUCUCUUUAGGAACAAUUUAUCAUAAAAAAAGCCAAAUUACACAUGUAAUAUUUCAACUUUGGUCAUUUUUCUGAGUGCUCAUUUCUUCUCCAUAUGAGCAUGGCCUAAAAGGGACUUGAAUCUGCCAAAGAUGGCUACUUAGAAGUUUCCACAGAAACAGAUGUCUCAAGUAUGUCCUGAUUCAUUGUCUUCUUCCUUCUCUUCCUCUUCCUCUCCCGGCUCCCUUCCUCCUCCUCCUCCUUCUCCUAAUGCUGGGAAUCAAACCCAGAGCCUUAAACAUGCCAGGCAAGCACUCUAUUGCUGAGCUACUUCCUCAAUCCCCAAGUCUUAAAGUCAAACUGGAAUUGUAAUUUGAAGAAAAUGAUUAGGAUAAACCUGGAUAAUAUUACAGAGAUUGUGAUUCCUCAUUUCUUUCUUCGUUUUUUCCCAUAGUGCUGAACAUCGGGAUGUGGUGUGAGGAAUACCAUAGUCACAGAUAGUCCAUUCUUACCUUCAUGGGGCUCAUAUUUUACUGAAGGUCAUAAAAAAAAAACAAAUUUCAUCAAAAAUUUUUUUCAGUAGGAAGAAAUUAUUAGAAAUCAAGACAAGUUUAAAAAAGGAACAAAGAAAGAGCCAAGAUAGAAAGUAAUAAAAGUGAGGAAAAUAAUGUUCAUAAUGGGGUUGUUGGGAGAAGUCCUCUAUGGGAUAAGACAUUUAACAUAAGGGCAAAGGAGUAAAAGUAGGAGAGAUUCUGAAUCAGGAAGGAUUUGGUCACAUUUACAGAACUAAGAGGACUGGUGUGACUAGCUAUCACCAAGUAAGGGGAAAGAAAGCCUGGCAUGAGAUGAGGUGGAGGGGACAGGGGACAGAUCAUGCAGGGUCUGUGGUAAAGAAACUAGAUUUUAUUCCAUGUGAAAUAGAGGGUGCUUUAGCCAGCUAUUUUGUCACUUGUCAAUAAACCUGAUGAGAACAGCAUAGAAGAAGAAAAGUUUAUUCUGACUCAUGGUUUCAGGGUUUCAGUCUGUGGUUGGAUGACUCCAUCACUCUGAGCCUAUGAUGGUUUAGAUGUGGUGUCCCCCCAAAACUCACAUCUGAGAAAAUGCAAGAAGGUUUGGAGGAGAAAUGGUUGGAUUAUAGCUUUAACCUAACCAGUGAAUUAAUACCUGAUGGGAUGAAUUGAGUGGUAACUGGAGGCGGUAGGGUGUGGCUGGAGCUGGGAAUUGGGGGGUAUGGCUUGGGAUGUAUAUAUUCUGUAACUGGAGAAUGGAGUCUCCCUCUGCUUUCCCAUCAGGAUAUGAGCUGCUUCCCUCUGCCACACUCUUCCAGCAGAUGUUCAGCCUCACCUUGAGCCCCAAGGAUUGGAGCUGGCCUCCUAUGGCCAGUUCUAAAACCGUGAGCCCCUAAAUAAACUUUUCCUCCUCUACAGUUGUUCUGGUUGGGUCCUUUUAGUCACAGCAGUGAAAAAGCUGACUAAAACAGCCCAAGGUGAGGCUCAACAUCAUGGCAGAGGGUGUGGAGGAGGAAAGCAGCUUAGGACAUGGCAACAAUAAGAAGAGAGAGAGAGCUUCGGUCCACCAGGGACAAAAUAUAAAGCCCAAAGGCACACCCCCAGUGACCCACCUUCUCCAGCCACACUCCACCUGCCUACAGUUACUACCCAAUUAAUCCGUAUCAGUGGAUUAAUUCACUGAUUAGCUUGCAUCUCUUAUAAUUUAAUCAUUUCCCCUCUGAAAAUCCUUGCACUGUCUCACUCAUGAGCUUUUUGGCCUAAACCUUAACAGAAAGUGAUUAAAGAGUUUUAAGCAGAGGAAUGACAUGAUCUGAUUUAUGUUUGAUAUUAAUCUGAUACAGUAUAAUUUACUUUAUUACUAUGUGGAGAAAGAAUUGAGUUGAGCUGGGAACAAAAAUGGAAAGAAAGACACCAGUUGGGAGGUAUAAAGUGGACCCAGGUGAGAGAUGAUGGUGGUGUGGCUGGCAGGGUAGUGGUGGAGAUAAACAGAUUCACAACUAUUGUUCAGGUUGAUAGGACUUGCUAGUAGAUUGAAUGGUGGGUAUGCAGGAAAGUGAAGAGUCAAGAAUGACCCCAUGGUCUUGGCUCCAGAUGCUGGGAGGUUCUAGAGGGAAGAUAUGUGGAGGUGGAAAGUUAAGUUUGGGGACCAGGAAUCAAGGUUUGUGUUCUGAUAAUGUUAAACAUGUUAAAUCAGAGAAACAUUUGAGAUAUCCAAGUGUAGGCAGUUGGAUAUAUAAAUAAAGAUCUCUGAUGAUCUGUGGUUGUGAAUUUGGUACUCAUUAGCAGUGGAUUAAUUCACUGAUUAGCUUACAUCUCUUAUAAUCUAAUCAUCUCACCUCUGAAAAUCCGUGCACUGUCUCACUCAUGAGCUUUUGCCUAAACCGUAACAGAAGGUGAUUAAAGAGUUUUAACUCCAUGGAGUUAAACGUUGAGAAUGAUGGGAUCAGCCAUGGAGAGCAUAUAGAUGGAUGAGAAAAAGAGGGAGAAGAGAGAAAGGAAGGAGGAAGAGGAAAAGAAGAAAAGAAAGAGGAAGGAAAAAAAGAAGGGUGAUAGGACCAAACUCUAAGGAAUAUUAUUAACCUGUGAAACUGAAAGGGGAGGUAGAGGCAACAGAGGGAAAAAAGACAAAAGCCAUUGAAGUGAAGAAAACAGAGGAUGGUGUGAGGAAAACCAAGAAAAGAGAAUAUUCUUAGAAAGAGGAGGUGGUACAGGGCUGGGGUUGUGGCUGAGCAGUAGGUAGAGCACUUGCCUAGCAUAUGCGAGGCUCUGGGUUCGAUCCUCAGCACCACAUAAAAAUAAAUAAAUAAAAUAAAGGUAUUGUGUCCAACUACAACUAAAAAAUAUUUUAAAAAAAAGAAAGAAAGAGGAAGUGGUAAGUUGGAUGAGCAACCAAAUUAAAUGAGAUCAGAGAAGUGUCCCUUGGAUUUGGUCACAUGGAAGGAGAUGGUUAGAGACCUGACAGGAGCAGUUGAAUCACUGUCUUUAGAAUUAGGGUAUCAUAUAAUGGAUACAUUACUCUGCAUAGAUUUUCUUGUGAUUCACAAAGAUUCAAAAUUCAAGUGAAUGACCUGAAAAUAGAGGCUCCACUCUUAUGCUUGCUCACUACGAUGGCCUCAGCAAGAAACUUAAUGGGAUCUUAGCAGACAGUGAUGGAGGGUUGCUGGGACUUGGGAAGCUUGGAAUGGGCAGGGUGGUGGGUACAUUUGUACAUUGUAGUUUAUAUAAUGCAGGUUGAAGAUACAGUGGAAUGUCCAGAAAUGUUUGUGGACUGAUUAAAAAAGAACAGAAAGGAAAAAAAAAUUCACUGCAGUUCAACUCCUUUUCUGUUUACUUCAUGAGAGGCAAUGGAGACCACGAAGGAACAGUUGCAUACAUGUCCAAUAAGGAUUUCUCUAAACAAUAUAGUAAAUGAUUUCAUUUUCAUUAUUUCUCUGUGGAGUAAGUGAGGUGUUAUACAGCAUUGCUAUCCUGAUCUUGAAGACUACACAAGUUGGUCAAGACUGCAUAGCCACACGUUCCCCAAGUGGGCUUGAGUCCCAGGCCUGUGGGUUUCCCAUUCCUUCGCAGGGAAGGAGUUGUGAUCCACAGCCCUUACACUACUGCCCUGGAGCAAGACCAUUCUCUUGAUGCUUUUCUUCUCUGUUAGGUUCCUUCCUCUUUUCUAUGGGUACUCUUUCAUUUCUUCCCUUUUCCCUUUUGGUCUUUCUUUAUGUGGUGGCUGGAGAACCAAAGAGGAUUGAGGCCCCAUCCCUCACCCCUUUCUCUUGUCUUUUCAUUCUGCGAAUGGCUCAGUGUUGAAGAGCAUAAAAAACAUGCCCAAGGUAAAUGGAUGAUUUAUGAGAUGGGAGGGAAGGAAGGACUGCACACAGGCAAGGUCAUUAUGUAAGAGACCGUGAGGGCUGUGCACAUAUGAUUCAAUUCUCAACAGGACUCAUAAUAUCACUUUCAUGUGUGGGGCUGAAAAACCCCUUUUAAAAAAUUCUUUUGAGUGAUUAGAAUCAGGUGGUCAUGUACAGUGUGGCCAUUAUUCCAAAAAUGAAACCAAAACAGACAUAUAAACACUCCACACAGUUUUCUCAGCUUCACUGUGGAGCAUGGAGUCCUGAGCCAAGCCAGAUGGACAGGGGUCCCCAGUGUCACUGGCAGCAUCCUUGUGAGAACUCUGGUGUGAAAGCCACUAAAGGAGCAGGAUUUUGGAGGCUCAGAGGACACAAGUGGCUGAGAGGAUUUCUUGAGGACAUCCCUGAUGGGAUCAUUUAAAAAUAUCCCUCCCAGAGCAGGACAUUGUGCACCUUCCUGGCUACCUGCUCUCAUAAUUCUGAGUUGCCCAUUGACCACAGCAAGAAAGGGAUGGCUUUAGUAAAUUCCUCACACUGAUACUCUAAUUAAAAGAAAGUCCUUCUAUGUUCUGUAGCAUUCAAAAGCGUCAUUGUAAUAAAUGUAUGUGGAAAUAAAGCCUUCCUUUGAUUGCCUUGUGGCACAGGGAGAACUGGCCACAUUUCCACAGCAGAGAUGCUGGAGAGAGAGGACCUCUUUAAUGUGCUAUGCAAAUUUAUGAAAACAACAUGCAAAUCAGUGGAGUUCAAGUGACUCACAACAAACAAAUGACAGGAAAGAGAGUGACCAUUGUGUCUUGUAUGGGAUUCUUGGCCAUAUAGGGUUGUCCAGGUGUGCAAGUGUGUGCGUGCAUGUGUGUGUUUCAGUGUGUGUGUGUCUGUGUUUGUUUCAGAAUGUGUGUUUGUGGAGUGAAAGGAGAAGAUGUAGGGCAGCAGUGAGAUCUGAGCACAACAAGAAAAUUAGAACUUCAACUCUAUUUUGCUAUUUCCUUAUACCCAAGAAGUCCUUCCCCUGUCAGGAAUAAUAAUUAUUAUUUGGAGUAGAAUAGGGUUAUAGGUACAUUGCAUUAUGCAGAAGUGAGUGUUGUAAUACAGAAAAAUGUCCAGGACUAGGAAUCAGGGUAGGAGGAGAAGUCUCUUAAAUGCGGCCCUGAGGUCCUGCUGGACCACAGGUUAGAGGAAUCAGCUCUGGCACGCUUCCGUACAGUUCUUACAGGGCCAACGGCAUGUGCCUCUCUGGAGCUUGCAUCUCCCUUGUGCAUCACAUUCUGGGUACCCAGAAAAACCCAAGAUUUCUAGCACAGAAGCUGGCCUGCUGCAUUGUUAGGAAGUUAUGCUUGUCAAGGGAGGAGAUGGACUACAUUUCAUAGUUUACUAGCUCUACGGGGACAUUUAGAUGGCUAGCUUUAUAGAUGACAGCCCCUUCCUACUCCAGCACUUGUAUCUCCAAGUAGAAGAGGACCUGGACCAGGGACAUUUUCUGGUCUUGGGUCAGCCCUGAGUGGUGGUAUCAUCUUGAGCAAUUUCCUCUCUGGGCCUUUGAUGCCUUAUUGCUCAAUCAGGAUCAGGGAGAAGCUGUACUGGAUGAGCAUUAAGGGCUCCGGAAGGUAAACAUCUCUGAGAAAGUUGGGACCUUUAGAAAAACUCUCCUGUGCCUGUGACCUAUAGGAAUUGUGAUGUCAAAAGGAGGGUUCCACACAGGUUGUGUAUUCACAAUUUCUGAGUUACAACGAAUUCAAUGGUUUAAUAAUCUUACAUUCUCAAAUAGCAUUUAUCUUGGUAUGUAUUUGCAUACAGUUGUAGGGGGUUAUACUAUUGAUAUAAUUCAGUUUAAUUAUGCCUUCUUGGAGUUAAGGCCUUCUGAACUUAGUAGUUGAGUUUACACAAAUAACAUGCAAAUAAGAAAACAAGUGAUUUAAAGAACCCACCCAAACAGGACUGACCACCAUAACCUGGGUUAUGGUUGUGGUUGGCACCACAGCUAGGUUAUGUCACAGUUGUCAACAUUUAUCUGACUUUUAAACACUGUACCAGGGUGAUACAUGAAUGAAUUCGUGCAAGUCCUUUUCAUUCAGGACAAAUAGGUGCCCUGCAAACCCCUUGUGUGGCAAAAUCUGAGGCAAACUACUCCAGAAGCUACACUGAGCACAUAUUCCCACCUCCCACUCCCAGGCCAGUCUUCCUCUUAUUUGUCCCCUCCCUCUUCUCCCCUCAUGAAUAAUUAGCUGGCAUACCCAGCAGCCAAACAGGUGCUUACCAGAAGGGGGGCAUGAUAAACCUGUGCUUUCCUUUCUUCCAACUUUGCAGAUAAGCAACCCAAAUACCCCAGUAUGCCUUGAGCCCCAUUGUUUUACUGUGUCUGAUGCCAAAUGUUGUCCCUCCCAGGCUGAGCAGGACUACUGGACCGGCUUGCUCACCCCUGUCCUUCACGGCAUGGAGAGACAGCCUUGGUUUAUUCUCCAAUAGCUCACAGGCAGAAAUGUCACAGUAGCAGAAUGUGGCCUGGAAGCCCCAGAACCAUUCCUUGUCCCUGACUUCUAUUGCUCCACAAACUCAGGUUCAAUAGUCCACUGAAACAUUGUCCAAUAAAAAUGUACUCUAAGCCACAAGAGAAUUUAAAAUUUCCUACUACCCAUAGUAAAAACAUAUAAAGAAAUAUUUUCAAUUUAUUUUAAUAAUAUACUUUGUUUAACAUAAUAUAUCUGAAAUAUUAUCAUUCCCAUGUAUAAUCUAUAUAAAAUUAUUAAUGAGAUAUUCAAGCUAAGCCUUCAAAAUUUGGUACUUUUUUUUUUUACACUCUUUGUACAUUUCAUUUGGGAUUAGAAACAUCUGAAGUGCUCAACAGGCACAUGUAGGCUUUGGGUUGUUGGAUUGAAUAGCAAAGGGCUGGAGCCUUUGACUUUCCUGACCCUUUGCUUAGGACCACAGGAGGCUGAGAUGAGACACGGGGAGAAAACUGGCUCUCAAAUGUGUGCACUGCCUUUUUGUAAGUAUGGUUUAUCUUUGCAGUAAUAUGAAUAACCAUCCCAUCCUAUAUGCCUACUUAUGUAAUUAAUUAACAUUUAUAUUGAAGUUUAUGUUUGCAGAGUGUUUUAUUGAUGUAGUUGCCAGUAUAUUUAUCUACUUGCAUGUUUAUAUUUCCAUGUGUGCCUACCUGUGCUAAUUACCACUAUAAUUAUUGAAGUUGUUUAAGAACACAACUCAUAGUUACCUUCAAUAGAACCAACAACUAUUUUAAUAGCAACAAUAAAUUCCAUCUUCCCUCUCCAAGUUCUGUCUACUUCACUAAGAGAUUUUAUACCUCCACCCAAUAUUCUCCAAGUUCUUGCUAUGCCUCAGAGUGAAAAACACAUUUAAAAGCAAUCUAGUAAUUGUCUUUUCCCCUUUGUCAGCUUAAAUUUCAUAGGAAUGAGAUAGAAAUUUAAUGGCACAUCUUCCAGCAACCAAAGCAUCAAAAUACACAGCAUUCCAACUUGAGAAGGAUUAUUACAAAUAAUGACCACCACCAUCAAAUAAUGCUAUCUCUAAUACCGAAUGUCAUUUCCUACUCAUCCAAAGAGUCCGUGAGCAGGAGGGGGAUGAGAGUGGAAGUAGGUGGAGAUGGGGACCUUGUGCUCUGGUCACCGAGGUCAUGUAUCCUGCUUGGACUAUGCACCUGAUGCUCUGAGGAUGGAAGCAGUCUGGGCCUGUUGAAGAGGCUGGCAGAGGCAGGCAGAAUGGAAAGAGGGGAGUUUGAAUGAGCAGUUGUGAGGUGAAAGAAACAUCCAGUAGUGGUGUUGUUGGGAGAUUUGAAAGAACAUUCCACCUUACCCAUUCCCCUCCCCAUCCCCUCUCUCCCUCCCCCCAAAUCAAUGAGGGGGAAAAAUUACAGUUCUCCAAUUCAUUCUGUGGUUCUGCUGCUCUCUGUGAUUGGAAAUGCCAGUUCGGGGAAUGAUAUACAUCAUGUGAUGAAAAGAAAGUACAAAAAUAUUCACCCACAGCUAAGAAAUGCAGCUGCCUCUGCGGCAAAACCGGCGGCUCUUCAAUAGAACAGAGCAACACCACCCAAGAGACGAGACACCAACUCCCGCUCUGAAGCAAUUUUGUGAGCCCAAUAUUGGGGAUUAGAGCUGAACAUGAGAGAUCUUAUGCCACAAAUCACUCUAUACCCAAUGCUUCUGCUACCUACUCUGCUGUCCCCUGGGGAGAAUCAUUAAGCCUCUUUGUGUCUCUCUUUAAAAUGGGAGCUAAAUUAGUAAGUUACCACAAAGGAGUGUUUUCUUAAUUACUUGCGUACAAAUUACUUGACAUUAUUGAAUGAAAAGUAUCAAGGAGAAUGCAAGCUAUUACCGUGAUUAUUUUUGCUCUAAUAUAAAGCAGCAAGCCAGAGCCCUUUCUAUCUCUGGAUUAUGUUUCAGAUCAGUGAUACUUCAGGGAAUGGUUUCCUAAGGCUCUGACCACCGUUAGUACAAGCAGCAUUUCAAAGGUGAAUUGAGAGAGGCCAGCAUCCCGAUGCUGAGUUUUGAUUGAUGUGGAGGUACAAUUGGAAAGAAAGAACAGAUCCAGGAGAGGAAAUGAGGGCAUGAGCAAUGGCCUCAUCCUGUGUGAUCACAGAUGAAACUACUAGUCCUGGGUAACCAAGAGCUGCCUUUUGCCCUGCCAUUGGGUAUCCCAGACUUGGUAGUGAGGGCACCCAGAUAGAUGGUUGCAGGAUGACACUUGAACACCCAUUUGUUCUGAGGCAUCAGACAUGCUCACAGGCACCAGAAAUAAACAUGGACCAACCCAAUGUGAUAUUGCUAGAGAAGACAAAGAGAGAGGCUUUCCUCCAGGUUAUCUCUAAGGGCAGGUGGAAGAAGGGAUGCAAGAGGCCAAAUAUAAGACAAAUACAAGAAGCACCCUUUCCUCGAAAUCCUGCCAGAGCCAAGCCAAUGUCACAGUGAGCACACCCAUCCUAAUGGGUGGUGGUCCAGCCCAGGAGGGAUCUAUGAAUAAACCCAACCUGCCUAGGGAAUUCAAACUAAUAGUGAUUGACCCUGAUUUGCUCUUGCAUCUUUGAAUCACGCUGUGAUUGUGUCUUCAUUAGGAAUGUGGGGUUAAGAGAAAGUGACACAAUACGGUAAUUAUGCUAGAAAAUUGAGUGACAUUAGAAUCAGGCCUUGGAACGUUUUCUGUGGAAUUCCUUUGAUCAGCCAUUUACUCUGUUGGAGAUGGUACUGCUGGAUGCAGUCCAGUGGGAUGGCAAGGGAGAGGAGGUCUAUUACUCACUGAAUCUCUCUUUUAUACAUAGAGUUGUUUAUAUACUUUCUGAAAAUUCCUUCUUAUGAAUUCCAGUAUAUUAUUUUUCCUAUUAAUGUCUUAAUGAUAGUGGCAGGAGAAUGUUUAAACCCCAUUUCGCUGAUGACUCUCUCUGUAGAAAAACUCUCUCCUCCCAAAUGCAAUUUUCUGUCCAUUCAUUAAUUGUACUGCUGCUUUCCUAAGUUUAUUUACUGCUUCUAAAUAUGUAUCUUAAUUUAUGCCUCUAGUCCCCCGGGGAGCCUAUAAAAUGUAAAAUCUUAUAUAAUAGCAGAAGCAGUCACAAAUAUUUUAAUAUCCAGGGCUGCUUCGGAAUCCUAAUUUUGCAGAUGGCGUGAUGUUCAUUUUAUAGCAGCUAUUGAAAACUAAUAAAUGCCGUCCACAUCACUCAGCAUUGUCAAUAAUCGGCCAGAUUGUGUGCCGGGGGAUGCUGGGGAAGCAGGAUCGGCUCUCAGCCCAUCCCUUACCAGCCUCCAGCUGCAGACCCCGUAGCUGCCUUGCCUUAUCAGCUGCCAUGAUUCUAUGCAGGUCAGCAACAAGGCGAAGCUUUUUGAACUUCUAAUCUGCCAGUGGAGAGAUACUUGCAAGAGGGUAAUUGCUGUGCAGGGCAUGCAGGGGAGGGAGGUGAGUGCAUCUUCUCCCCUGAUUAUUGAAUUUGCAUUCCUCAAAUGCAAGAGGGGAGCAAGGGAGAAGGAGCCGUGAGGCCACCACCAGGUCUGGUCUGGAAGUCAGUGGAGAAGUCAUACAUCCCAUAUUGUAGGCCUUCUUUUUAAUUUUCUUUCUUUCUUUUUUUUUUCCUUUUUGGUAAAUUCUCUCUUUAAGCAAAACAAAAGCUCAUAUGAUAAGGGAACAGUAAGGGGUUCAGAAACAGAUUCAGUGAAUUUAUCAUUUAUUCUUUCAUUCUUUAUUUUGCCAAGUAGUUAUCAAGUUUCUACUGUUUUCCGGGCACCGUGCAAGAUUAUGUCUGUGUCUAUGUGUUUAUUUGUGUCUCCAUAAACUUACAUUCAGUGAGAAGUUAUGUCACACUUCCCAGUGAUCCCUGCCCUAAAGGAACUUACAGUCUCCAAGAGAGUUUUUCCAUAGAGUAAGCCAGAGUAGGAAGUAGUAAGGGCUGUACUAGAGCAGAGAAGAGGAGAGAGUCUAUUUCCAACCUUGAGGAUGGAGGAAAAGGUAGGAAUCCAGAUAGACUGCCCUGGGGAGAUGACACCUGGACUGGGUGUUAUGGGAAGGUGUCAUUUGGCCCUCUUGGAUCCUGAAAGAUCAGUUGAUGUCAAACAAAGCAGAGUUCAACUCCCUCUUUUCCCUUCUAAUCUUCUGGGAGAUGGUUGCCUUCUUGUGAAAACUUCUAUGCUUUUCCCUUUUACAGCUGUCUUUGCUGUUUCCUUGAACUGGAUUUCAUCUGGAUGCAAAUUCAGAAGGAGCAGGAGGGUAAUCUGCUUUUAGGCAGUCCCGGGAGAUGGUCUGUGAAAGCUGCGCAGAGCAGCGUAUCCAGAGUCUUGAUGAGAUGCAUUAGUUCAGAGGAGGCAGAAAACGGCUGGCCCCAGAGCAGCUUGGACGCAGAGGAGCAAGUAAAUGGUUCAAUGGAGUUUUGUCUUCAGAUUCAUCCAAGUCACCUAGAUGGGAGCUAUAGAGAGAGAAAGCCUGGCUGCCGGAACUCUUUGUUCUGCAGUCACCUGGCCUUAAAUUACCUGAAUUUUUUAAAAAUGAAAAGUUGUGCCCAUUGAUCAUAAUUUUAUCAUUUGGGAAUCUGCCUAACACCCAAACCCAAAAACAAAUGGAUCAGAUCUAAUCUUUCAGUGGGCUGCUUCUUGCCUUGCUUUCCCUCUGCUUUCCCUCCCUCCCUCCCUCCCUCCCUCCCCGGAGCUUGCUUUCUCUCUUUCUUUCCUCUCCUUUUUCCUCUCCACCCUCCCUUUCUUUCUCUUAUAGUUUUUUACCAAAGAUAUAAAAUAAAUGAUUUUUUUAAAGGAGGCUGCGUGGGGUGAGGUGGGGAGGAAGAAGUCUCAUACAUUGCCCUUGACAGGAAAGAGGAAAUCUCCACUGUCACCUCCAUAGCUUUCAGUCCCCCUAGAAUGAGGAAGUCCCUGAAUCAUAGAAACAUAUCAGAUAAAGCCUCAGGCUGUGGUGUGAAAGAAACACCAAGUUUGAGCCAGAAGGCUUCCCAUCCAUCUGUACUCAGGGACUCAUAGAAAGUUUUGGGCCUGGUCUUAGGGCAGAAACAGGAAUUAGGCACAUGGUGGAAGAAAUGUUUUUUUGUGUGUGGAAGGAACUACAAAAUGUUAGAAUUGGAAGGAACAAGAAGGAACAUCUUCAUCUGAAAGGAUGAACUGGGGUGUCCAUCCAUAAGAACACACUGGAAACCAAUGAUCUCUCUGUUCCAGAAUGGAAAUGACAGGGCUGGUGAACAGCACUCAUUUCUGCCUGGAUGCUGUGCACCAAACCCAGAGUGGAGGAACAACCCAUUAUUAUUAUUUUUUUUAAGAUAGCAACCACCUCGUCAAGCAGAUAAGGAAACUGAGGCCCAGAAUAGUGAGCUGAUUUGUUCCAGCUCCUAGAAAUUAGCUGUAGGUUCAAGAGAAUCCAGAAAGAGGUGAGAAAAUAAUGAUGAUUCACAUUCUCCAUCUCCCUAGUCAAGCACUCAGGUGAGUGCCUCUUUUUGGUAAGCUGCAAAUGGCUGAACAUUUCACUCUUCCCAGGGACAGCAGAAAUAAGUGGUGUCCAAAAGAACUCAUCUAAGCAUGUGUUACUGCACUCAGUACGACAAAUAUGACCCUGAUGGUACGCGCCCAGCUGACAGUCUCUGGCAAUUCAUGCACCUCUCAUUCAUGGUGGCAUGGAUUUGGUAAGGAAGGGUCUGAAAAAGAAUUUGCAGACCCAUUCAUUGGGUGACCCAGCAAACUAGGAUGGGGUUCUGACAUGGCUGAGUCAGUCAAGAGAGGCUGCCCAGCAGCUUGGGUACUAUUCAGAGAUGACUAACGUGGUGAUUUUAUUGUAUCACAAUAUAUGUUUAUAAAUAUAUAAUAUAGAGCAUAAAUAAAAUAUUUAUAUUAAAUAUGUAGAGUAUAUAAAAUUUAUAUAUAUAAGAUAAAUAAUAUCAUUUUAUGUAUAUUAAUUUGGGGGGGAAGCAUAUAUACUUGAGUUAGACUAAAUUAAAUGUAUAUAUGAUAUCACUUGACUGUAAUAUCACUUAUUUUUAAGGGAGUUAGAGUGAAAAUUAAAGCCAGAGUGUGUGGGACUCCCUGCCACUAAUUGAGCUGAUCCCAGUCAAGAAGGAGGCAUGGGUAUAUAUUCAACAAAUAGUAGCUGUUUUUCCUCUUCUUGUGGCAGUUGAGUUUCAGUAGCCAAGAAUGUGGACUGUUAUUCUGGGGACAAGUAUUUGAGUGACGAGACUGUAGUCUUGGAAGAUUUAUAGGAGAAAGACAGAGCACCCUGAUUCCUUGCCAAAGGGGGAUUCAAUGAUCAUCCUAUAGGGAGACCAGUGACUAGGAUGAGGGACUGUCAAAUGUCAGGAGUGGGCCCCAAGUGAGAGGCCUGUUCCUGAUGCAGUACCACUGAGGUAGGUAGGAGUAGAAGAUGAGGCAACAGGAGUCCAGAGCACACCAGGCACCCAGAGACCAUUGGAGACUCCACCCCACCUUCAGUUUUGUAAGAGAAAGCCUUAUUGGAACCAAUGCUGGAAGCAGCCAUGGUUGGGCCUGGGCACUGGGCCAGAGAACAGGGUGGCUGUGGAGGGACGAGGGAUCAGGUGUCCAGAGUGAUCUGGAAGUACACCAUUUCUACAGCCCCAUGGGGACAUAUUGUUGCUGGCACCAUUAUUCCUGGAGGGAGAUGAAGCAGUGGCUUUCCACUGUGAUUGAAACAAAAGAAAGGAGAACACACUAAAGUUCUCCAACACUGAAAGGAUGAACUGGGGUGUCCAUCUAUAAGAACACACUGGAAACCAAUGAUCUCUCUGUUCCAGAAUGGAAAUGACAGGGCUGGUGAACAGCACUCAUUUCUGCCUGGAUGCUGUGCUUAUUCAGACCAAACCCAGAGUGGAGGAACAACCCAUUAUUAUUUUUUUUAAGAUAGCAAAUUCUACUGUAUUUAAAAUAAUCAUCCCAGAUAAGUGAAGAGUUGAUAAAUGAGCUCAAUCUGCAUAGCGCCUUGUAAGAGCAGAGCUGUGUGUAAUUACACAAUUGCCCUGGGGGCUGUCGCUUUAUUCUGCUGAGUAGAAAAGGCAAUGCCUUGUGAAAUGUGAAGCCAGGGCUCUUGCGGGUAAGCAAAAGGAAGGAUUUCAUCCCACCCAUUGCUCCCUUUGCUUUGUCAGAGAAACUCCCCAAAGAGAAACAAGGUAUUGUCAACUCUAAUUGAAGGGGUCCAGCAUUGCCUCUGGAGAUGCUGUGGGACUUCUUAUUUAAUACGCACACACAGCCGUGUGGUAUAGGCCCUCUGACAGCCAUAGUUAAGACAGGCAAGUUUAGAGGAUUUUAAAUCCACUGAAAAGAUAGAAAUCACAAUGAGAGGGAGAGUGAAUGCAGGUGCAACUGAGAGAAACCAAAACCAUGAAGGGAGGUGAGAGCCACCGGGAAAAGAACUGCCUCCAUCACCGCCAUCAUGAGCUACGCAUUUCCCCUUCUCAUGCUGAGUUCUUCCGUGAAGAAAUCAUUUUCUCAGUCCUACCUUUCUUUGUCCUUCAUUACUUAUUAGGUUUUCUUUUUCAACCUAUUGGAUUUCUCUUUUCAAACCACCCUCCCAGUGGAAGAAUGCUGAAGGCCCUGGACACAUCCUUUUUUUCACACUCAGAGAGAAGACUGAGGGCUCUGAAUUCAAAUCUUUGGGAACUGUCAGAUCAGAGGUCUGAAAAAGCAUUAGAGAACUAAGGUUCUUCAUUGUGUUCCACGAUGGGCUUCUGCAGGGCACCUCCUUCCCAUGCCCCAUCCUGCCCAUUUUAAUGUGAGCCAGAUCAUUUCCCAUUAAAAUUGGAUCAUGCGCUGCACUUUGAUCAAAAGUUUAUAAAAUAUUUUGGACAUAAUUUCAUAAGUUACAAAAUGUUAUACAAUGGAGGUCAAAUCUCACAUUCUAAAAUUCUUUGGAUACUGGGUGGUCCAGGAAAGCAAUAGCUUGAUGACAUUCCAGGAGUCAUUUAGAAGGCCCCCUUUCAACUUCAGGAAAAAUAUUGCUGCUAAAAUCAUAUCACACCAACUAAUAUUCACAAUGGGGUCCUCUCUGGUAUUCUCUUUGGUUAUAUAGUAGACCCUUAGGUAUCUCCUCAAAUUCUUUUAGUAAAAGACACUUCCUGAAUUUUAGUAGGGUACAUGGAUGUUCAUUUUUUUAAAAAGCCUACAUUUUUGUGAGAUAUGUGGCUAAAUUUUAACCAAUGGGAAGUCAGCAGAGAUUCCAUAUCUUACUUUUAUUACUGAGAAGCAAAUGGGAAGGCAGGAACUAGGGCAGCCACUUUAAGAGAAUAACCACUAGAGGAUAUUUGUCCAAUGCCAGAGGAAAGAAAAUGGAGGGCUGUGGUAGAGAAUGCUUGGCAGGCAUCAGAAUACCUUAAAUGUUCUAGUCACUUUGUUCACAAACAAGGCAUAUGAUUGAAAAAGUCAUGUAAUUCCUCAAGUCUUUGAGCCAAUCACAUUUCUCAAGGUUUUUAGUAUCUUCAUGUACUGAAUCCAAACAGUAAGAAGAGCUCAGUAUCAUAGGGCUAUUAUGGGGAUGGUAGAAGCUAUUUGAGAAUCAGGAGUCAUUUUAAAACCGAAAUAAGUUAUGGCUGAUACAAUUAUAGGCAAAAUGAACUUCAUCUAUGGAGUUAAAGCAGAUCUUUUGAUGAAAAUAUCCCGUAGGAGGAGCUUCUCAACUCAGGAUUCUACAGUCUCACUGUUCAAGAGAAAUCGUGUCAAAAAGAGAAAGCAUUUGACCCCAAGACCCAAAGCUUGCCCAGGUUAUGUAUAAGUGGCCUUCUAUGAUGCUGUCCCCUUUGAAAAAGGAAGGUUCUGCUGUCAUCAGCAGCAGACGAAUUUCCCAUUUUGACAAAUUCGAUGAAGAACAUUAUUCUGCCUAGAACCAGACAGAUAUAUAACAGCUGUACCAUCUUGUGACAAGUUAGUUGCCAUGGUGGGUAUCUGAGGACCUGCAUGUGUGAGGUUCAAAUCAGAGACGCUUGAUACUUAAAAUUCAAUGUCAGCUGUCUGUGAUCCUGCUCACCCAAUGUGCUUUAGUGUGACUUCAGAAUGAUCUAGUCCAUCCUUCACUUGCCCACUGUGAGGCUCAAAAUAUCGAGGCUCAUAGAAUUCCCCAAAGCAUCCAAAGGCCGAACAUGUUGUCUGGUCUUCUGCAUAUAUCUGAACACAAAAUUGAACAUCACCAUUUUUGAUCCAUUUUUUUUUAUCAGUACCACUCAAGUUUCAUGAGGCAGUUUUUGACCAUCCCCCAAGGUUUGCUGUAAACUUUCUGAAGCAGGAAAGCAUGGGAAAUGAUUUUACAUGGCACAUAAUAGCAAGAGGCAAGAUCUCUUAAAAUAGGCAGUUUCAAUGCAAACAGAAAAUCAUCACUGAGGUCUUAUCAUAUCGUUAUCUAUUACUUAUCUUAUUCUUAAAUGAUUAAAUGUAACAAAUGGCAUUUAUAUGGGUUGUUCCACUGAGUAGCCCUGUUAAGAAAUGUAUAAAGAUGCAUAAAGAUGCAAAAUUUAUACAUUUAUGUAUAAAGAUUUAUGCAUCUUUAUAGAAUGAAAAUAACUUUUGACACAAUAUAAAAGGAAAGAGAAAAUAAAGUACUAUUGUAAUUAUUGUAUACCACUGCCACAGACUCAAAACUAGGCAUAGACUAGUUUUGGCCCAGAAACAAGAUUGUUGAAAUACCCUAUUUCUCUAGUUAGGCAUAUGUUGGAAGUGUCAUCCUCCUCAAAGUAGAACAUCUGGUAAACUGUUGAUUUGUCUUCUCUUGGUAAUUUCAUAGGUUAGAAGUUGGAGACAGCAAUGUGGAAAUUUCUAUUUGAUUUUCAAUUCUAACCAACAAGGAAGAACUGGAUAGUGUUAUGAAAAUGAUAAAUCUCUGGCAGAAAUUGGCCCCAUUAUCUUGAAAUCCAUGAUAAUAAAGGGAGAUUUACUAGCUUAGCUUGGUGAGAAACAUAACAUUUAUAAAAUAUUUUAUAUUAACUUAGACAAAAUAUAUAAUCUAAUAGAUGUAGUUUGGGGUGUCUACCUCAACAAUGGUUCAUUUUUUUCCAAGAAUUUUGUCCUUCAAUGAUGGGUACCAGUCAAUGAUGAGACCAAGAGAUCAGCCUAGACUACCAUGUUUGCAUCCCACAACCUGAAUCAGGGAUGACCUCCAACCAAGGUCAGCCAGUGGCUAGAUGGCUAACAGAGUGUCUAGUUGGUACACUUUAAAGCUGAAAGGUUGUAGAGAAUCAGAGGUGAUUUCUGUAAUACAGUGAGCCAAAGUUAAUCCCUGAUGAAGCUAUAGGGGAGCUGAGACAAAGAGAAAGUCAAGGAAGUUCAAGUGUAAAGAGAAUAAUGGAACAAUGGCAGAUUACAUGGAGACAUAUAAUUGGAAUGGGGGUGAGGAGGGAGAAAAAGCUAAGAGACAAGACUCCCUAAAGAUGAAAACUUCAUAUAUUUUUCUUAUUUAUGUAAGUGUCAAAUAGUCUAAAUUAAUAGAGAAGGAGGCAGAGACAGAUAUUAGGAUCUCAGUUACCAACUCUGAAGUUCCACAUUUCCAGCCCUGUGAGGUCCAGUGGUGCUUUACUUUACGCCCUUGAAUAUUUAUUAUUGCUGGAUGAGGCCUGUCAAUAAGUGAUGGAUCUUUUAGGGAAUAUUUUUGUUUUUAAAUUUGAAUUGGUCGGAGUGGGUAUUUGUCAGUUAUUACCAAAACAUCCUGAAUCUUUACUGGAUGUGGCCAGAGAUUGUAAAGAUAUCCAUCCAUACAGUACAGAUUUUUCACUUUAAGUUCCCUCCCUUGAAUCUCUGCAGAGCAAACAUUCUUUGUCUAUAGUUCUCUGUCGUUGGGUCUGCGACCGGUGCUUCAAGAGUUGUCUUUCAAUAAGGAAUCAUUGUAGAAUACCUAACAAGAUGUCCUUGGCAUUCAGUAGCCUAAUUGUGGCUUCUUUAAAUAAUUCUUUCUCAUGCCUCUUCUUAAUCAUGGUUCUAUUCCUCAGACAGGCAUUCAUGGAAUAUCAUUCUUCCAUCUUUGAUCAUACACUGUGUUUAUUAAACUUGUUUUUUAAGCCUUUCUCCAUCUCAAAUGGAACAAUCCAGAAAACCACAAUUUCUCCACUAACAAGGCUUCAAAGUUCAAAUGAGUCAGCCUUUCUAUGUGAGUGACACUAGAGUCAGACAACUCAGAUUUUCUGGUUUCUGAACACAAAAUGGGUGUGUCAUUCCACAUACCACUGCUCAUUCCACAUCGCCUCCUGGAAUACAGCUAGAGGGGAAGCAAAGGUAAUUAGCUAUUCUUCUAAUCUUUUCACCAAACUCUUAGAUCAUGUUAUUUGGUGAUACCAAGUUUGGGGAUAUUUCUUUAUUGUGUGCAGUGUCAAAGUGGUUCUUUUUCCUAGUGUGUUUUCUCACUAGAGGUUGUACUCAUUUAGAAAAUGCGGACUGGUGGGCCACAGUUAUCAUAUUUGUAAAAUGGGGAUAUCAUCCUGGUGGAUAAUCCAUAAAUUUAUUUAACUUCUGAUUAUUUUAUACAAUGUUGAAGUCAAAGAAGAUUAAGUAGCAAAUGGAAAAUGGAGGGUAUAGCUCCAGCCAGUAUGGUCCAUCCAGCUCUGUCAAGAUUUGAUCCAGAUGAAUUUAAUUUAUUUGGGGAAGAGACAGACUGCUAAUUAGAGUCAUUGAUGUUUGCUUAUGGGAUCUUUUCAAAAAGAUAAAGACAUGACAAAUUGAAAUAUCUAGAUCUUGUCCGGUAGGUUUAGAGAUUUUGAAGCUGAACCAUGUAACAGGCCUCUGUCAAGCUACACUGGGAAAGCCAACAGGGAGAGAGUCAAUGCCUUUGUUGAAUUUCAAUCUGCAACUCCUGUUCAGAUACUUGUUUCCCUCUUGGAACGAUCCCCAGUGGGAACUCUAACCCCUUCAGAACCAAACUGAUGACUGUGUAAAGCAGUUCUCAGAUGAUUUGCUUGGUGCAGCUCACAAGCAUUGAACAAGUGCUACCUGAAGGAAACUCCUUGUGGUGAUACACAGCUGCUGUUGUCGUGGUGUGAUCCAUUUUCCUUUCAAAAGCCCCUUUUGCUCUACAAUUUAUAGAAACUGACUUUAGAAGAGGUAGUGCCAGUUUGACCCUUCAGUUGUCCAAAGAGAAGAGAAUCAAGUCUGUCUUCUCUGUCCUUAUUCUUUUCUCUUCCUUCAUUUCCUACCUUCCUUCCUCUUUACCAUUUUUCAUCAGCUUAUAUGGCCUGGGACUCCUCGUCUAUUUUUUUAAAAGAGGAAUUCAAUCCAUUAAGAAGGCAUUUUAAGAUAUAAAUUAACUAGAGAUUUUUAAAAAUGAGGACCACUUAUCAAAUGGAAGGAAAGUAAAGUAGGCUGCCAUACUUGGGCUUGACUUGUCCUCCUGAAGGUGGGGAAACUUGAGACUAACCACAAAGUUCAGGGCAUCAUUAGUAGGUUGUUCUUGGCUUUGAUUCAAUGGAAGAAGGUACAUAGAUGUUUGCUAGUUGGAAAGCCCUCUAGACACUGGCACUCCCACCAGGACAUCAUAGACAGGACAUCCAAGCCUUGACACCAACCCUCCUCCAACCUAGCUCAUUCUAAUCCAUGCAUUGCACUUUACCAAGUCCCAAGGGUUCUGGGUAGCAAAGAAACCAAUGCCGUGGAAAAGGUGAUCCAAAGGUGACCCAAACCCUGGGAGACAACUGGAGCCCGGCACACUCGUGACCCUCAUAAUGAGCCACUGGAUGGCACUGUGGGUCUGUGCAAAUGUGCUCAGAAGGACAUUUAUCUUUCUUUUUAAAAGGCUGUUUAGCUUUGGCAGGUAAUUUGGCACAUUUUGAGUUGAAAUGUGCCAAAUGAUUUGGCAAAUAUUUCACUUACCUCUGAAAAUAGGCACACCUGCUGUUGUGGCCUGCAGGGAGUUGGGGGAGGGUAGCAUUCACCCCAACUUCCUUGUUUCUAAUUUUAGAACUGAAAACAAGAUUUUGGUCAAGGAUACAUAAGUCAAUCCAUUUUCAGUGUGGUACCAUGUUUUAAAGAAAUGGAAAAUGUUUCAUGUUUCUUAAGAAACCAAUCUGUCCAGGCUAAAGGGAGAAUUUUUUGUCACCCCAGUGUUGUCUGUUUUGCCAAUACCUGGCACAUCUGGCUCAUGACCAGAUGGAAAGGGAUUUGGUUGAAGAACAAUGUCUUCUAAUGGUCCUCCAACCAACUAGGAAAAUCUGACGCCAAGCUUUCCAGUUCUAAAGAAUUCUCUGCCCAAUACUUGGUGUUUGUUAAAGAAGAAAGCCAGGCAACAUAAGAACAUCUCAGAAAGCAACUCUUGGCCAUAAUGAAGUGUCUGCUUUGCUGUACAUGAUAGUGACAUUCACAGUGGAUCUUCCCAUUCCCAUGGAAGAAUCCAAGUGACAGGCUGAAGCAUCCUUACACCAGCCUGCAUGUCAGGCCAAGUUCAAGCUGGUACAUGAAAUUUAACUCCAUCUCUUACAUUAUUUGCUACUCAAGAAAGCAUAUUGGGUUACAAAUGAAUACAAAUGGUGUUAUCAUUGAUGUAACUUUAAAUGUGAUCUAGUUUUUAAAGUGGUGAAACAUUUGCAAACCCAAUCACUGUGGCUCAUAUAUCUACAAAAUGACUUGGGAUCACUUCCUAAGUGGCCAAGCCACAUGCUGGGAACAGGUGAGUUAGAGAGAAGAGAUUCAGAACUCCUCUUUUUGAGUAUUGCCUUAUCAGGUACUGACUAGUAAAAGAGACAUCUUGCUGUGGCAAAUUUACUCAUCUUUUGAAAUAUAUCAAGGAAGCAUAGCACUACAGAAUGACUCUGGCUUUGAGUUUUGAAUCUUGGCUGCAGGUCCCAGGUCUACCAAUACCAAUUAUGUGAAAGUAGGGGAUGAUUAAGCCCCUACCUUGUUUUCCUACGUAAGCCUAAGAAAGGCAACUCACAUGAGCUCCCAUGGCUAGAAAAUAGGGGAAUUGUCUUCAGUUUAGGCAUCUUUAACAAAUUUAAUGUGCUCUUUUAAAAAUGUUUUUUAAUUGUAGAUGGACACAUUUAUUUUAUUUAUUUAUUUUAUGUAGUGCGGAGGAUGGAACCCAGUGCCUCACACAUGCUAGGCAAGCCCUCUACCACUGAACUACAACUCUAGCCCCUUAAUGUACUCUUAGUGUGUAUUAGGAUAAUAUGUAGAAAUUAUGAUGGAGGAUACAUUUGUUCAAAUAAAAUCUAAACUAUGUACUUAACAAUUUUCUUGAGUACAAUAAAUACCAGUGUAAAAAGAAAAAGAAACUCUUCUGGGAGUAAGAUUUUUUUUUUAAAUAAUGUAUAGCUGUCUAAUGAUGUAUAUUUGCUUUUUUGCCCUUAGAUUUUAUUUCAGUGCAGAUUAUUCAUAAAUUUUGAUCUGUAAACACCUGUUUGUUUGUUUUUUAACCAUUCUUCUGUGUCAUGGUACUUCAGGGUUUUGUCAUAUGUGGCCAGAUGAAGAACAUCAUGGAAGUUGUAGGUCACCCUGAUAAGAGGUUUCUGUGGACUGAUAGGGCAAGAACCCAGUUGCAGCAGGCUGAGAACAAAAAUGAGUGAUGAAGCACUAGUAGCAGCAAGUACAGUCGACCCUUUGUGACUGCAGGUUAUGCCUCUGUGGAUUUAACCAACUGCAGACUGAAAAUACUCAGAAAAAAAUACAUCUGUAUCGAACAUGUACAGACUUUUUUCCUUGACAUUAUUUCCUAAACCAAAUUGUAUAUCAUUUACAUAACAUUUAUAUUAUAUUAGGUAUUAUCAGCCAUGUAGGGAUAAUUUUAAAGAUACAGGAGGACAAUUUAAGUUAUUAGCAAAUAUUAUGCCAUUUUUAUCUAAGGGCUUGGAGCAUCCAUGCAUUUUGGCAUCCAUGAGGAUCCUGGGACAAAUUCCCUCCUGGAUGUUGAUGGAGGACUGUAGUGACCACUUUUAUGAGGAGUCUGCUUUAAAAGGAGGCAAAUAAAAGUCUUGUAGCUGGUACCUGAAAUCCAGGGAAAGAUUUAUUUUUUAAGAGAUACAAGAUUUCUUUCUAAGAUUCACCACAUCAGGAGGAAAUCAUGGAUAUAGCUAUUCAUAAACAUAUCUGGAGUUUUGACCAAAAGAUUGAAAUCUGGUUGUAGAUCUUGAACUCAAUUAAGACCAAGGUCAUCUUCCUGUCCCAUGCCUCGAAGCAGAGCUGUCAGGGUUUUCAGUGAGCUGAUGGAGAAGGGCCCAGGAGCACUCCUUUUUCCUGCAAAGUUAGCAGGUCUUUAUUUAGCAAACCAUUUCAGAACCGGGAGAUAGUGUCAUCCAAUUUCCUCAUUAAACUGACUGAGGUAUCUGAGGCUCAGAAAAAUUACAUCUUGAGAUUUUGUCUCAGAACAGUGGUGGAUAAAGACUAAGAAAAUGACUUUAGGUGUAGAAAACACCUGGGUUAGAAUUCCAACCCUACCACCAUUUAUCACCUCUGAGAACUGAAGUCAUCCUCAGUGUUCUCAUCAAUUGAGAGAAUUGUGUGAUAUUUGAUAAACAAGCAUCCUAAGGGGACCUUUCCUUAUGGGGUUGUUGUAAAGAUAAACAGAUAAGACAAGCAAAGUGCUUAGUACAAUGCUGACAAUAUGGCUAUGCUAACCACUAAUCUUAACUAAUAUUAAUGUAAACAUAAAUGUUAUACAUAAAUGUUAACUAAUAUGAUUAAAUGCCAAACAUAAAAAUUAACUAAUAUAAUCAUUGCCAUCAUGUGAGAAUUUGAAUACGUGGAAAUACUACAGUAUAAACUUGCAUGCAUAGAAAACAUUUUUAAAAUGUUAUGGAGAGUUCCACAAGUGGAAUGUAAUAAACACCAAAGAAGGCACACAGGCCACAAUGUUUAGUCUGAGCCUUGCUAAAGUCCAUAACCAGCUGUAGUCACCUUAUUCAAACUCUGUAACUCAUAAUUGACUUGAGGCUGAUGCCCUUCCAAACUCUUAUGUGGCCUGCUGAUACACAAUUGGUAUCUUCUGUAUAAAGACUUCAGAGCCACCUCCCAACUGGCUGGAUGCUGUUUAAAUUUUUUCUCUCAUUUUUUCCCCCUGGCUUUCCCUUUUAAAGCCAGCCAGAAGUUUAAGUAAAGCUGGUUGUGGUUGAGGGCUGCCAGGUGGCUGACAGGAGCUACAGCCAAUCCUCUUUCAACGCUUCAGAGUUGGCCGGAUAGGGAUGAAAUGGGAGAGAUGUGAAUGCAAGGCAGAAAGAAGGAGGGAGAGCAAUCAAGAAACGCAGCCCUCCCCCGUCCCACUGUGUGCCCUAAAGAUCUGUUUGCCUCCAGCAGCCUGGCCAAGCUGGGUCAUCAAAGCUGUUGAGUGGGCGCCUACCUUUGUUGUCACCUCUUAGCUGGGGCACUGGGAGGUUAUCAGAGAUUCUGUUUGUAAACGUCAAAGUAGCUUAGAAUGUUUGUUCUCUCUCUUUGGGACUAUUUACAAAGAAAAAAAAAAAAACAAAUUCCUAAGCCACCACUUUGCUCAACCUUUCCUAUGUUGGUUUUUCUUCUCACUGGAGAUGAGCCACACAGGCCUGAAUCAAAACCAAUAGAACCGCACAAGUUAAUUGGAGUCUUGAAAGGAUCAGGAGACCUGAAACUCAGCUUGAUAAGCCCCCACAGGGCUUGGAAAUGAGUCUCAUGGGAAGAAAAAAAAAAUCUGGUUUUCAUUGUCCCAUGGAUCCACUCACCAGUUCUUCAUAGUAAUCUUUGACAUAUAACUGAAUGCUUGGUUUUAAAUAAACAAUAUGUUUAUGCUUCUGCUUUACAUAUAUUGUGGAAAGAGUGGUUGAAAUGGAAAAUUUAAAUUUUAGAAUCUUGGGCUGGGGAUGUGGCUCACGCGGUAGCGCGCUGGCCUGGCAUGCGUAAGGCCUGGGUUCGAUCCUCAGCACCACAUACAAAAAAACCCAAAGAUGUUGUGUCUGCAGAGAACUAAAAAUAAAUAAAUAAAUAUUAAAAAUUCUCUCUCUCUCCCUCUCUCUCUCACACUCUCUCUUUUUUAAAAAAAUAGAAUCUUUCUACCUACUGACAUAAGUCAUAAUAUAGUAGGAAAAAGUAAAAAGGUUGUUGUUUGCUGGAUCUGAGAUAUAUGUACAUUUUUUUCUUCUCAUUUAAAUAUAAAACAGUGUCAUAAUAUCUAUAGCCUUGCUCUAAUGCGCCCUUCCUAUAUUUUUUAAAAUUGCCCUUUCUAAAACUUACUUUCUUAAAAAAAAAUGUGGUUACCCCUGAAGAGAAAGUUUCCUGAGUUCCAAGCAGUAAGAAAUUUGAUAAGAAACUUAUUGGAAGCUAUCACAACAUAAACAGGAAUUCCAGCCUGGGAUGCUGAGUGGGGGAAAUAGAACUGUUAACCUGUAGUCUAUCAGUUGAAUUUUGGCUCAGGAUGUAAUGACACAAAGUCAUUACCCCCUGAAGGUUCAUGGUCUUUGGGGAAAUGAUUGUUCAGUGGUUUCAGUUCCAUCCCUAACAGCUCAGAGUCUUCAUCAAACUGGCUGCCAUUACCAUUAGAGUUAAUUGUCACUAGUGCAGCCUGGGACAAGGAUUGAACGCGAUGGGAGAGUGAAGUGCUUCGCCUAUACUGCUAAAGGUAGUCCCUGAGCAGCUAAGUACUGUUCUCCUCCCAGACUGAUGAAAAACUGUUUUGGAAAACAAAAGGAAGUCGUGAAAAAUGUCUAUUCAUGUGUUCGGUCACAAAGUCUUGCUUUUCACACAGAAUCAUAUUUUAGUAGCAGGUGUAAUUCAAACUGUAUUUGAUUCCCUUCUGUGUUCAGGCCAUAUAAAAGUGCAAAUCAGCUACUCUGCUUCCAAGGAGAACCAGUUUCUCUUUGAGAGGGUACCGUUAAAUCUUGAGUUUUUUCAGCUGGUAGAUUUAUCUUAACAAUUGCUUAUCAGCAAUAAGAAGUCAAUGCUGGUUUUUUGGGAGAGUAUCCAUUGGAGAGCUUUUAAAAUUGACUUUAGCUAGACAUUUUAGAGACAAAGUUUGUUCAUUUCCUUGUUUAUUGUAGGUUGUAUUUAUGCUGCAAAUAGCAACAAUGAUGUAGUUUUGGAAUAAAAGAGGCAAUUAAAUGUAAAUAGGAGAUUGAAAUAACCCUAGUCUCUUUUCUUCACAUAUUUAUAAAAGAUGUUUCCUACUCUUUAACCUUAUCCUGUGAAACUCUAUAAGGGCUUAUGGACAACUUCUUUUCCUACUGAUGUUUCUAAAUUGGUGACAUGCAAUUACCUUUUCCAUACUCGUACUGCAGAGUAAGCUGAAUUUUUAAAUCAUAUACUUGUAACUGGUUGAAAUCUUCCCUAAGUAUUAAAUGCAUGUUAAGUGUCUUGAGUGUUGAUUUUAAGAUGUUUAAUUCUUUGCUCUCCUGAGCAAACUAGUCUUAUUGGAAAUUUCUUAAGAAAGGUUGUUGCUAUGCUAACCAUUUCCUGAUCUUUGGAACUACUACCUGAUUAUGUCUCACAUUCAUGUUCCAAAGUUACCAGGUGAACCCCAACCAAUGGAAAAUUAUGGCCAUGUUCACAAUUUAAGAACCAGAAACUUGGAAAUUGAAAGUAUCCAGGUAGGCAGGAUGGGACAGAUGGACUUUUAUGAUGUGGUAACAUGCUCAGUGAUCUCCUUCAUUGUUAGGUUAUGUGUAGGACAGUCUGACACAGUUGGGUAAGUUCCAAAAAGUUCUGAUUCAAGGACUUGAGAAGAAGUAGCAACUGUAUGGGUCAUUUGGGUAUUUUUAUUUGUUUUAAAAUUGGCCAGGUAUAUAAAGGGAAUCAUUACUUAGAGAGCUGUCUAAAGCGUCAUACACUCUUACGUCUACGUCUUCCCCUCAAUAUAUCUAGCCAUGGUUAAAUCUGCUAAAACUUAUGGAAGAUGAGCAAUGUUAAUGAGAGAAGUCACACUGAUCCCAAAUGUAUCGGUCAGAGAAAGCAAAUCAAAUAUAUAAACAUACAUAGGUACGUAUACAUAUGUAUGUGUAUAAAUAAAUAUGUAUAUAUAUAUAUAUAUAUAUAUGUACCUAUGGGUGUAUAUAUAAUAUAUAUUUGACUUUCUAUAUUUCUAUAAAAAUAUAUAGAGAUUAGAAAUAUCUAAAUAUCAAUAGGAGAUAUUAUUUCUCUCUAUGUGUUUAUAUAUGUAUUAUCUGUGUAUAUAUAGAUAAGAAAUUUCUUAGAAGAAUUGGCUCUCAUGAUUAUGGAGGCUGAGAAUUCCCAUGAAUGGCCAUCUGCAAACUGGAGAACCAGGAAAACUGGUGGUGCAAUUCAGUCUGAAUCUGAGACCCUAGAAAUUGGGGUAAAGGCCCCUUGUAUAAGUCCUAGAGUUGUAAAGGCAAAGGACCAGGAGCUUUGAUGUCUAAGAAUAGGAGAAGAUGAAUGUCCCAGGUCAAGAAGAGAGUGAAAGUAGCUUCCUUUCCUCCAUCUUUCUGUUAUAAUCAGGCCCUCAAUGGAUUGGACAAUGCCUGCCCACUUGGUGACUUGGUGAGGAUAGGUCUGCUUAGGUAGUCUAGGAUUCAAAUGUUAAUGUCUUCCAGAAACACCUUCACAGACAAACUCAGAAAUAAUGCUUUAUCUGCCAUCUUGGCAUUCCUUCACCCAAUCAAGUUGACACAAACAGGUACAUGGGAAGGAGUGAGUCAGGGGCUCAACAGGAAAGGCUCAGGGGCAGAAUUGAAUCUGAAAGUUACAAAACCACAGUUUGGGGCAUGUUCAUCCAUAAAGAACAUAGAAUCAAAGACCAGAGGGCCAGCAUUGGAGCCCUGGGCACAGUGGCUUUUUUAGAAGAGAGCAAAAGGACGAAUGAAGGAAAUGAAGAAGGAGCACUCAUAAGGAAAGCAAAGAAUUUUACAAUGUCCCCAAAGCAAAAUAGUUUCAAGCAGGAAGCAGUGGCCUACAGUGUCAAUAUGGCAGAGAAGUAAGAUAAGGAUGGAAACAUCCAUUAAAUAUGUCAAUACGGAAGCCAUUAGUGACUCUGGGGUCAUGAGGCAGUUCCCAUGGCAUAGUGGGGCAGGAGCCACACUGCAAAGUAGAGAACAGAGGGAGAUGAGAAAGUUGGGCUGUGAAGGGAAAUAAGAAAUAGGGAGGUCACUGGAGUGAUACUUGGGGUUAAAAGUCCCAUUUUAACUUCUGUUUUUAAAAAAACAGGCCUGGGACUGGGAUUGUGGCUCAGUGGCAGAGUGCUUGUCUUGCACGUGUGAGGCAAUGGGUUCAAUCCUCAGCACCACAUAAAAUAAAUAAAUAAAAUAAAGGUACUGUGUCCAUCUACAAUUAAAAAAAAGUAAAAGAAAAUAAUAAUAGAGAGGCCUGAGACUGUUAAUACUCCUCUCUGUUAGAAGGAAGAGGGGCUUGAUAUACAGGAAGGAGAGUCAGGAACUGAAGGAAUGAGGUCCUAUAAGUGGAGACCAAGGGGCCAGAUGGACUGAGAACCCCAAAGCAAGAAGGAACUCUCUCCCCAAAGCCUCGUUGGUGGGAGGGAAGAGAAGAUACGCCUAGGUCUAGAUGCAUUUGUGGGGAGGGUAGAAAAGGAAAAGAUUUACAAUAAUAUAUAUAUAUAUAUAUAUAUAUAUAUAUAUAUAUAUAUAUAUAUAUAUAUAUAUAUAUAUAUAUAUAUUUUCUGCAAAGAGAAGUUAUGGUCUUCUGCAGAGAAUUACAAACUGGAAAGAAGAGAGAUUUUAAAAGAAAUCAAAGUCUGUAAUAGGCACUGGGGGAAGGGGAGAAGGAACUGACUAGAUAGAAGGAGCUAAGCAGCAAUGUGUCUGUGGCUGAAACCUCUAGUUUGAUUAGAAAUAUUGACCCCAAUGACUUUUAGUUUGUUUCUCAGACCUAGAAUGUGUCCCCAACUCAUGUCACAAAUAUAUGUUGUUGAACAAUAGAGGGUUAGAGAUUGAGAAAGUGUGGAAGGGUCUAGAGCAUUUGAGAAGGAGAUGAACAACAAUAAAAGAUAUAAAAUAGGUUAAGAUGUUUUUCAGGUGCUGCAGUGGCAGAGGCCUUGCCUAGCAUGUGUGAGGCACUGAGUUUGAUCCUUAGCACAACAUAAAAGUAAAUAAAAUAAAGGCAUUCUGUCCAUCGACAACUACAAAAAAAUAUUUUUAAAAAGAUGGUAUCCAGUAUGCAUAUCUUUUAGCAAAACAUUACUUUCAUCUUGUAUCUGAAACACAGCAUCAUUUUCAGUUUAUGGUAAUCACUACUUUGACUUUCUGUCUAAAUAAGAAACUGGUCCCAUAAUUUAACAAAGCAAGAAUAUAUUACCUCAGAUUGUACAGUUUGUUAUUAUUUUGAGUGCCACCCUCCCCCAAUGCCAUGUAAAAAAAAAUCACUUUUACCAGUUUUAUUUUGGUGACCAAAGGAAUGUGGUUAUUCCAUGAUUCUUCAAAACGGCUUAGCCACUUUGGUAAUUGUAGUAGUGAGAGGGUAUUUUUACAUCCUUUAGUUAAAUUUAAAUCUUUGUUAGGAUUUAUGUGUAUUUUCAACGGUUAGCUCCUUUUUUAAAAUGUAAUUGUGAUGGAGGAAUUUCUAUUUGUUUCACUUGGGAGAAGGAAUGACUCACGAUGAGAACUCUUUCUUUCUAAAGGCCUUUGUCACCCAGCUAACGCUUUUCACGUAUGCCCUUUGCAUGAUCUCUUUAAAAUUUAUGGGAGGUCAAAGAAUCUUUAAAAACAAAGACAAAUAAAACUAUUUUCCUAGUCUCUCUUCUUUAUACAAUCUUUGUACUAGAAACGCAUUCACACCGAUGCCAAAUGAAGUUUUCUGUUUAAGCUCCGGUUCUCAAGAUAAAGUAGGGAAAGUGGCAUUGAACUAAUCCAUUCUUGAAAACAUCUUAACAUUAUAAGCAGAACAAAGUGGUACAAAAUGUAUUCAGCCUCACGGAUUUCUCUAGAUUGUAACCAGAAUAGAAGAUGGCAGAAUAUAUUAAUUCCUGAGAUAAAAUUAUAAUGAGAACAGAAAAUGGUGCGAGAUGAAUUAAUGUAGUGGCAGGCUUCUGUCUGCAGAGCAUGGUGCUCUCUAAAUACCACAUCGCAGCACUUUGUAGUCAGCUCUCUUCUGUAAUCUAUAUUUUAAAGAUGCUCUAAAGAUAAAGCCAGACCAUAUUCUCAUCUCCAGGAGCACUGCGGCAGCACUCUGGACACAGAAUAGCCCCAGGGAAGUGAUGAAUGGGCUUACCUGAAAGGAACAGAGGAGAUUUAAGUUAGAUAGCAGGAAGAUUUUUCAUUUCUGCAGAUGUCUACUGACAUGCCUCCUUCACUAGCAGGUCUCCUUUAAGUCUGGAACUUCAAGGAAAACUUAGUUGAAGUAGUCGUGGUUACAAAAGAAGAAGUUGCUCUUUGCAAAAAAGACUUUACAUUUUGCAACAUGGAAAGCAUUGUUUGAUAUUUUUUGUCAUUGCUGCUUAAGAGUGCCGGUUUUAAACUGGGAUGACUACCGUUUAUCUGGAGUGAUUUUCAAAUAGGUACUGCCCUAUGUGUCUGAAGUUAGAUUAUCUUUUAAUCCAUAUUAUAAAUAUACUUAUUAAUAGACCUAGGGUGAAUUUGGGGAGAAAGUUAGUCAAUGCAGUAAUGUACCUGUAGUGUCAUUCAGAUACCUAUUUUUAGGAGCUUUGUACUAUUCAACAAGAGCCAAUAUAGCCCAAUAAUAAACAACUGAGACUCAUUGCUUCAAAUCCUUCAAAGGCUAACAUGACUGCAGCAGCCACAGUAGAAAACCUUGAGUGGCUAUACUGGAACUUUGAAAUGCUUAAUAAUGCUUGUUCCCCAUAGCUUUGCAUCCUCUGAAACCUGAUCUGAUUGCAAAUUUUUAAUCAGGAAAUCUGGUCUUUGAAUCAGAGUGGCUUUGCCAAUUAGAUUGGCAGCAAUAUUGCUCUUGUUUUGAAUUUUCAUGAUGCAGGAAAUUUGGGUCCAAGUUUUUUCCUCUCUGCAUUGACACUGGUGCACAGGGCAUGGCUAGGUUAUCCAAACUAUGAAUUAAAGUUUUUAAUAACAUCAGAAUAAGGUAUUAGCAGUGCUGUCUUAUUGUGGCUGGUUGUGAUUUCAGAUGAAAUCUAACUCUAUGAUAACAAGCAAGAGUGAACUGUGAGUUAAAAUGUGCUAACCCCAGACGGUAUUGUAAUCCAGGCUUGAACACUGUGUAUUUUCUCUUUUCACAUAUUCUCUGGCAAGACAGUUCCGUGACAUUACCUCCAACAGCAAACCUAGUGACUUGUGAUUGUAUUUGUCCUGGGAUAAAUCCUCCAUACAGAGGAGGCGCCUUUAUCCUUGAAGUACUUUGGAAAUGAAGCUGUUUAUUUCUUCCCAGCCCUCUGACCUGUCUCUAAAGAUUCAACCAAAGGUAUUGUAGACUCUUUAAUAUUUUAUUAAAAGGAAGAGAGACUCAGAGAAUUAAAAUCCAAGAUUGCUUUACUGCUUCAUGAUUUAAGAAAUCAAAACUUGUAAGUAAAUAGUGCUUUUGAGCUUGAGAAAUUACAGUGAAUCAAGCUGCCUCUCUUUCCGGAGAAAUUUACCUGAAAUCUAUUCUCCCACUGUUUGCAUGGUCAGUUCCUGCAACGCUUGCAAUUUCUUUUAAAAUCAUAAAAAAAGAGAAUUAAAACCCUAUGAUGAAGCACUUACCCAAAAUUAAAGGGUCAUGGUUAUUUAUUAGAAAAAUACUAUGUACCUAGAAUUUAAUCACAUUUCAGAUAGACUUCUUUCUUUUUUCUUUCUUUCUUUCACAAUUGUACACCACGGACUUGAUAUUUCUGUCUAUCCUUCUUGACUUUCAGUCAUGGUUUACAAUAUUAUAUUUAUAUCUGUAGCAGUGUAUGGUAGGAGAACAAAUUUUAUAAGUUUAGUGUGGAUUGGGUUUUCAGUUCCCUAUAGGAAGUCCAGUUCUCCUUUGCUCCUCUGGGUUUCUGUAGUCUGAGCAGAGAAUGGCAUAUGAUAGGAAUUAGGUGGUGAUAAUAAUUUAGCUGCCUGCAUGAAGUUUACAGUUUAGAAGGAAAGGCACAAUUCAGAAACAGACCUGUGUUUGUACAAAAACUUGAUAUGUGAUAAAAGAGUUACACUAAUUUAACAGGCAAGGUUGAACCGUUGGAAACAGGAAGUUAAUCUUCUGCUAUGUUCCACAAUUAAUUCCAGGUAGAUUAAAAUAAAAAUAAUUAAAAUUAAAAUCAUAAAGAAAAAACAAAACAUGAAUAAUUCAUCUGUUCUCUCUAUGGGGAAGGAUGACUUAUAUUUGAAAAUAAGAGAAAGAAAUAGGGGAACAAAAAGUUGCAUGAUAUUUUUAAUUGAAUUUAAAAAAUAAAUGAAACUAAGAGACAAGAAAUAAGAAAAACAUUUGUCACAAUAAUGAGAAAAGCCCUAAUUACUUAUUAUAUAAAGAGCUCAUACAAACCAAUGUGCAAACAGGAUGGUAACAAGUUAACAGGCAAAUUACAAAAGGUGGACCUAAGUGUCCAAAGCUAAAAAAACAAAAAGAAUUUAGCUUCACAAAGGUGCAAGUAAAUGUAAAUUAAAGCUCACGCUACCAUUAAAUAGCAAAGAUUAUAAUAGAGGCAAUAUUUGAAGAUGGUAUUAGAGAACAAAAUGUCACUUGGCCCAUGCUAAUGAUGAUGGGUGUUGGUGUGGCUUUCUGCAUACCAAUUUAACAUACAUCAAAAGCCUUAAAAAUGUUAUAUUCUGUAGUAGGUCAAAAAAGAAAAUCACAAAACAGCUUUUUAAAAAUAUGAUUCCCAUUGUUUUUCAUAGAAGGAAAAGAAGGAAUAAUAGAGGAAAAGAAGGAAAGACAGAGGGAAUUGUAUGUGUGUUCAGGAACAAGUAGUGAUUUUGUUUUCUUCUUUAAAAGUCAGAAAGGUUCAUUUGUUUUUGCAAUAUGUCUUUAUUACAAUCAGAGAAGGUAAUAAUAUUUAAAAAGAGGAAGAAACAUGAAAAAAAUGCUCUUAUCCUUACACCCACUGGUUCCCCAUUUAGAAAAUUACCCAAAGGAAAAGGCAAAAAUGUAGACAAAGAUUUAUGUACAAAUAGUGUGGUUAAAAAUGAAAACAUCAUCAGGAGAUUGUUUAAAUAAAUUCUGGAACAUUCAAAAGAUAGACUAUUAUGCAGCUGUUAUAAAUUAUAUGUCAGAGGAUUUUUCAAUGACAUGGUAAAAUGCAUCUGACAAAUUUUAAGCAAACAGAAUAAAACAAAACAGGAUACAAAAUGGUAUAAGAAGAAUGAUCCUAACCUCAAAAAAUGCAAAAAAGGCUAGGGGAAAAAAAUACACCAAAAUGUUAAUGGUUGUGCCCGGGUAGGGUAGAUUACUCAUGGAGGAUUUUUGUUUUCUUCUUUGUUUUGAGUUAUGGGUUUUGUUUUCUAAAACAAUUACUGUGCACUACUUUUAUAAGUGGGUGUGGGGGACAUUUUAGAUCCUUUCAUCCCUCAAAUUGAGCCCUUUCCACUGUACCAGAGCACCACAGUUUUCUUCAAUAAAGAGCUUCACUACCUUGCCUUAAACCAGAAAUAAUGAAACAUCAGAAAAGGGCCCUAAAAUCUGGAUGCUAUUGGGAAAAAUAAAUUUCUGCCAAUAAACAGCAGGCGUUUGGUGUCCUUUACCACUUUGCCCAAUGACAUUCCAGGUAGGGAUUGUCCGUUACUUUAGAAUGACAAAUAUACAGCUAAUCAGAAGCAGCCAAUGAUCCCUACUCCGGGGGACAGCAUUUCUAGAAGCAGCCUCCAGAAGGUCUGCUUUCCAUAAAUGGUGUGCUGACUUUCAGCAGCAGGGAUCAGCAUUUUUGCCACGUGCAGUACCUUGGACGGCUGCAUCGGCUGCAUCACUGGGUGCCUUGAGAAAUCGCUAGGUAAACAUCCGAGCGCCAAUUGCAAAAAGAUACUCCUGUGGGUAGUAAAAACUGUUCUCCGUUUGCAAGUCGAGGCUUACCCCUGUGUUUUGGAGAUACCUGAAUUGGUUUGGCUCUUUUCCAAUUACAAUCUGUUCGUAAUCACCCAGGGUCUGUAACAUCAAGCAGCGUUAUGAGGGAAUUAAUUCUUUCUAUGUGACAGUUGUUAGUGUAAUUCAUGUCCUUGUUUUUAAUUGUUGGAUCAAAUUACUUUGUAGAUUAUUUCAUAUUUCAUCCCAAGAGAAAGGAAUAGAAAAAAUGCACAGUGCCUGUGGUGACUUAUUUGUUUAGUCUACUCUGGGAAAAAAGAAAAAAAAUAAAGCAGAAUUAAAAAGAUUGACUUUCUAAACAAAAUGGCUCUUCUCUAUCCUUAGAGUAUUUUUUGCAUCAUUUUAGAUGGAAAGUUAUCCUGAGUACAUUCUUUUUGUUUAAACACUCUAAGAACUAAGUUUAUUUUUAUAAUGGUUCUGCUAAAAUAAUGGCCAUAAAGGUCACGAAGCAGUAUCUCCUAACAAAUACCUUGAAAAGGAUUCACAAUUCAAUGCUGUUUCAUUAAAAGAAGCACCUUGAAGACAAGAAAUUAAUGAGAUUUAGAAUAAUUUGUUAAGAAGCAUCUAAUAGCCACUCAUGAGAUUCAAAUGUCAAGAUGUUAAAAAAAAACACAAAAAACCAUGCACACAUACACAAAAGAAACUUAGCAAAUGCAAAUUAUAUUUGGGGGAAAAAAGAAUAUUUGAAAAAUCUUAUAAAUGUUUAUUUUUGCAGCACUGAAAUUUAAUCCCUGUAUUUGAGUAUAUACCCAGUAGGCAUUUCAUCCAUUUUUGAGUCAUACUCUCUGAAUGCUUUUCACCCUAAAAAGUCUAGAAUCUCAGAAAUAGUUAGUAACUGUUUCAUUGAUGUCUUAUGAGUUGAGAGUUUACUUGUAGGCUGAAGGGGAGGUGAAGGCCCAGAUAAAGCAAGCUCACAGAACUGAAAAGCUAUAUAUAAAAUUCAUUGUUCUAUUUAUUUCCACUUUGUGAUGAGUUGAGAGGGAAAUGUAUUUAUAACAAUGGGGCACUUGAAAUGAGCUGUUGCUAUAACUGUCCAAGGCCAGCCAACAUGCAUAUUGCCUCAUAAAUAGUCAUCUUAUAAAGUAGACCUGAGUGAUAAACUGAAGAGGAAUUAUAGAUCAGUGAUCACUUAAAAGCAAGCAGCAAAGAAAUUGAUAAAUACUGCCUGCCUGCCUGCCUGGCAAAUAAAAAACAGUCAUCAUUAGAGAAAGAGCUGGAACUUGCUGAUUGCUGGGAAAUUACAGUAAUAGACAAAUGAACAGAUCCACUCAUUCAGGGCAAAGGUGCCUUGUAGUUCAGGUAACGAAGUACUGUCAACACAGAAAGGUCCUUGAAAUAGGAGCUGAACUUGCUAUCCUGAAAACAAAAGAUAUAUAUACAGACACAGUUGAAAAGCUGGCAGCCCCACAUCAGUUUUCUCCACCAGUGUGUUGAAUGUAUUUAUUGUCACUGUCAUCUUGGAAAAGGGAAAAGAGAUAUCCAUAAAAAUAGAUCCGUUUCCAUCAUUGGUACUAUCAAAUGCUAAAACAGAAUUCCUGUGGUCACUUAUAUCUCAUAAGCCCAGUCUGUUCUAGUCUGUUAUAGGGAAACAAGAUGGUUAUAUUGAUUUCAAAAGUUGGUUCUCUAUUUUAAAUAUGUUGUUUGUUUGCCUAUGUGUUGAUGGAAAAGAAGCAAGUGACCUAUUACCAGCUAAGUUGAUUGAUGGCUGUGGGUUUCCUAGCUACAUUUGGGCCUCUACAAAGCAAGUCUCUUGUUGAGCUGGUGUAAAUGCAUCUAAAUGAGCCUCUUCAGGAAGCCAAGAGGAAUGGCAUAGAGUUACAAGUACUGGAGGUGGGGAGGAUGCCACAUUCUCUUUGUGCUUCAAGCCAACUUCAUUCUGAUCAGAACGGAAAACCAUCUGAGGAUUUUAAGGGUUGCUCAUUUGUAAUAAUAACUUGCCUAUGUGAAAUGCAUUCACGUGGCAUGCUCAGAACAGCUCUGUGAACCAUGUGUUAUCACACCCCUUUCCAAAAAGAGAUUGAGGCUCAGAAACAUUUGGUACAUGCUCACGGUACCAAAGAGGGAGUCUCAGUUCUUCCCAUUGCCAACUCAGGCUUACUGAUUCCAGCUUCUAUGCCUAUUCUCCACUUGUAGCCAUAGUUAAAACAUGAUCCCACUUCCAGUUUGAUUCAAAUAAAGACAUGUAAAAAAGUCAAGAGUGGACAUCUUCUUCUUUCUAUGGUUAUCUUUACGGCAGACAUUCCUGGUUCAAAUAAGCAAGGGAAUAAUUUAAGAAAGAUGAAGUAGCAACAUUAGAAAGAGAAUACCUGCAUAGUUGAGGUAGUCAGCUUGCAUACUUGAUAAAGCAGUGAAAGCCCAGACCUGAAAGAGUUGCACGUAACAAAGAUGACAAGUCAAUACUCCCUAGAACACAUCACAAUGUUAUAAAGUAUAAAAUGAUUAAUGAAAAGAUAGUCAAUGUAAGAGCAGUCCCCAAAUACAGAUUUCAGUUUCUUUUCUGUAUACUUGCUCCAAUAUAAGGCCUUUUAGUUCAAACUUCAGUUACAAUGACAAGUUCUUUCAGAAAAUUGUCAUGAUGCCUACCAUAAGAUUUCAUAUAAAGAUUGACCAUUUUAUCAGUUCUCUUUAGUGGUGUAAACUACCAUCCAAAAUUUAGGAGCUUAUAAUAACAUCCAUUUAAUUUUCCACACAAUUUUGUGUGUUAGCUGGUGUUAUGGUUUAGAUAUGAGGUACCCCCCAAAAAAAACUCAUGUGUGAGACAAUGCAAGAGUUUAGGGGUGAAAUGAUUGGGUUAUGAGAGCCUUGACCUAAUCAGUGCAUUAAUCCACUAAGAGAUUUACUGGGUGGUGAUGACAGGUAGGUAGGGCGUGGCUAGAGGAGGUGGGUCAUUAGGGGUAUAUCUGUGGGGUUUAUAUAUUGUUGUGGUGAGAUGAGUUCUCUUUCUACUUCCUGGUUCUAUAUCCUGAGGUGCCUUCCUCCGCCACACUCUUCUGCCAUGAUAUUCUGCAUCAUCUUGGGCCUAGAACAAUAGACUCAGCCAUUUAUGGGCGGAGCCCUCUGAAACCAUGAGCCCCCAAAUAUACUUUUCCUCCUUAAAACUGUUCUUGUCAGGUCUUUUGGUCAUAGUAGUGAAAACAGCCGGCUAAAACAUCUGGGACAAGUAGGAUAUUUGGAAUGGCUGUUUUAGUUGGGGCCAGCUUGGCUGGGGCUGGAUGGGCUGGCGUGACCUUACUUGUGUUUCUCAUGAUUGGCAGGUUGGUCUUUGGAGGACUCAGCUGGAUAGUUGUCUUGGCUCCACAUGGUCUCUCAUCCUUUACCAGGCCAGCAUAGAUGUCUUCUCAUGUUGGUCUCUAAAUUCCAAAGGAAAAGAAGAUCCUAAUAUGCAAGGGCUUGGAAAAACCUCAGCUUCUAUUGGGCUUGCUGGAGAGCUGGGGAGAUCUGUCCAGGUCCUGCUGAAACUGGAAGGACAAGUAAGGAGUAAGACUGACUGAAGAAGAGUUGGGGUCCAGCGUGAAGGGAGUGGGUGUCACUCACUGUCUUAUGUCUAUUUUUCUUAGAUAUUAUUUUAGCUAUUCCAACCUCCUUUUCCCUUUUUGAUUAUUGUUUUCAUAAUCUAUCUUUUCCAAUUCUUUUUCUUUCAACCUAUCUAUAUUUUUAUAUUUUUUGUGGGUCUCAGAUAAACAGAAUAUAAUUGGAUUUAGUUUUCUCUCAAGUCUGGUAACAUUUAUUUUUUAAUAGGAGUAUUUAAUCCACUCACAUUUCAUUUAACUUAAUGAUAUAUCAGGCUUUAAUUUAACAUCUUACUUUUUUUCCCCCUAUAUGUUCUUUGCUCUUUUAUUCUCCGUUCAUGCCACAUUUUGGUUUAAUCAAGUAGCUUUUAUUCCAGCUCCUUCUCUAAUAGUGUGUUAAUUAUAUAUAUUUUGCUAUUCUUUUAUGGUUACCUGGAGAUCACAACAUACAUCUUUGACUUCCUAGAGUCUCAUUUAAAUUACUACUUUUUCAACAAAUCAGAUGAUGCAAGGACUUUACAAGAUGUUAACUUACACACAUUUUUAGUUUUAACUUAUACACGUUUUAGAGUUUCAUUAUUGUUCAGUUGGUGUUCAUCUGGCUCAACUGGAUUUUAACCUUUGUCUUCUUUAUUCUUGCCUCUAUUUCUGUGCUUCCAUCUGGAUCAUGAAGAAAUCCCAUUGGUUUUUCUUUUAGCCUGAGUCUGAAGAUAAAUUCUGUAUGUUUUUUGUUGGUCUGAAUAUGCAUUUAUUUGACUUUCCUUUUUCAAGGAUAUUUUCACUGAGUGUAGAAUUCUAGAUUGUUUGUUAUUUUCUUUUAAUACUUUAAAGAUUUACUUUCUGCUGAAGAUUCCUUCCAAGGUGCUAAGAGGGGGAGAAACACCCUGGCUUCCCACUUCUUCCAUGUCUCCUUGCAGUGCCCUCCAUUGCCUACCCAGCCAUAAGUCAGCAGGCAUAGGAACCCCCCCAAACAGCCCCCUGGAUCCGGUCCUCUUGUGAUGCACCUCAGAACACAGGUAAGGCAAGGAAUGGAUCUGAAGCCUUCACUGUCACUAACAUUUCUCAGUUACACCUGACUCCAUGGUAAUCAUAUUACAAAGUAUAUUCACAAGAUAGACUAGGUUAAUGAUGCAUUUAAAAAAAUAUCAAUGGCAUAAUGGACACAGAAUUUACUUUGAACUCAGUUAUGUGCUUAAUGGUUUGCAGCUCUUGAAUCUUGUAGCUACAUUUUCUGGAAUAUGUCACUUUUUAGAUGGCCACAAUAGGGAAGGAGAGUCUGAAAAAUUAUGCCUGGGUUCUUCACUUCCUUUCAUAAACCACUUAAAUAGUCCUAAGCACAUGGCCCUAUUUCUGCACAGGUGGGUUCUAGGAAAUACUGAGGAGUGCAUGGACAAUCUGGUGAGUACUAUCUCCAUUUCUCAUGGAUUACCUUACUUAAUGAAUAUAGCUAAUGGGGCUGAGGGUCUAGCUUAGUGGUAGAAUGCUUGCCUAUCAUGUGCAUGGCCCUGGGUUCAAUCCCUAGCACUGAAAAAAAUAGAUAAAUAAGUAGCUAAGGACUACUUAAUAAGUAGUAAUAGAUAAAUAAGUAGCUAAGGACUCUUCCUCACUUAACAAGCCACUAGAGUUUAAUUUCUCUACUAUGUUCUCCCUGCCAAGUAAUUUCUGGGAAUUCCUCAGUAAGGCUCAUGUGUUACACUAAUCUUUCCUGGAGGCCACUUGUCACCCCCACAAGCCAUCCGUCCUCCAGGUGACUUUCUCAGACCCAGCAGGUAAGUCAACUCUUGCCAGCUCGUCUUUCACUUCUCUCAACUACUUUCUCCAUUUUAUUCUGCUUCGUUCCAGUAUGGGCACGUAGAUUUCCCUUAAUCUUACAGGGCACACAUAAAACCACACAGUGGUAUCUAACAAAAUUUUCUGGACUAUUUGGGCAUUCUGGAAGGGAAUUAUAGUGCAGAAGAGGAGAACUUAGAUGUCGCUAUACUCCCGCUUCUCCAUUUUGCCUCUAAUAAUGGCUUCCUUUUGGCUAUGACCCUUGCCACUCAUGAUGGUCAGUGCUUACCAGUAGUGCUUCCCAGUCCCUUCUACUUGAGAGGACCAAUUAGAUGCUGCCAUUCAACAGAUGAGAAAAGCUUCUCUCCCUCAUUUUCAUAGCUGUUUUCUCCAGGGGCAAACUUCUCUUACUGAUAGUGUGUGGUCUGACCCUGAGAGCUCAGACAGGGCAAUCACAAAAUUUGACAGCAGAUUUUCUGAAGUCUAGAUGAUACCACCUGAAAUAACACCACUGUGGGUUUUCGGCCCAGGGUAUACUUUGGCAUUUCCCAUAUGGUUCCCUUUAAAGCCAAACCCCCAGAUUAAGGUACGGACACACCUCCACAUGCAUCCCCUCAGCAUCUGGUUUGCACUCCUGAUCUCUCAUGACUAGUUUUAAGAUGAAACCUAUGUGCAUGUACAUCCCAAGAGCAAAGAAUAAUAUACAGAAUCAGUUACACUUAAAAAAAAAUCUAAUUUAGCUAAAAAAUCUUUUCAAGGGCACACCCCUACUGAAAAAGAUAGGAUUUGCAUUGAUCAACAAAUAUAUAGCAUGUCAGUUUGAGUCAUUUACAUCUAGGUUAUUGGGUGGCAGUCUCCUUUAGAAAUGAUGCCCGAAUAUUUGCUUUACGUUUGGGUCAAAAAAGAAUCCUUUCCAAUUAUUUUCCAGAAACAAAGGAAGUCUUUUCCAAAGAUGAAUGAUGUCUACACCAGUAAAAAUAGAAAAUUGUUCACAACUUUUAAAGGACGUCUCACUCAUUUUAAACAAAUGUCUUUCCUAUAGCUAUCUUGUUGUAUUUGGUAUUGGUGUCUAAGAGAAAGAACUAGAAUGAGAGAUAUUAUUAUAUUAUGAAGACAUUUGUGAUUGCAAACAGUUGUUUAUGCUUACAGUCGCAGGCUUGAGAAAAAGAAGACAAUUUUCAGUUAUGUAAUAGGAAGAUCCCCAGCAACAUAGUCCAAUAGAAAUACAACAUGAACUAUAUAUGUAACUUAAAAUUUUUUGGUAGCCACAUUAAAUAAGUAAAAAAAUAAAUAAAUAAAGUUACUUUCAGUAGUACAGUUUACUUAACCCAAUAUGUCUAAGAUAUACUGAAACUCGUUUAAUAUAUUCAUAUCCUAUAUAAAGUAUUUUAAAAUAUUUGUAGUGCUCAAUAACCACAUGUGGCUAGUGGCCAUCAGACUCAGGUGUACAGGGAUAGCUGCAGGACUAGACACAGAGACUCAAAUGAGGCAUGGGGGUCCAUUUCUUUCCUCUGAUUUCUCUGUUCUUCCCUCUUUGCUCCACUCUCAAAUAUGCCCUGUCCUCUUAGUAGUGAAGUGGCUGUACAGCUCCAAGCAAUAUUUUUUCAGGUUCGGGUUCUGUAUCAAAGGGUGCUUCUGUCUCUUUAACAAUGGGAGAAAAAUUUGGUUUUCCGUCCAUUCCAAAAGCAAUUCCUGGAGUGAGGAGAGUGGAAUGAAGGCCCAGAUCACAAGACCACCCCCACCAACCCCCAGAAAUCAGUCCUCUUCAACUGCUUAUGCUGAAAAUAAGGACAGGGGAAGUUCCUCAGAGGAGAAUCAGGUGCUGUUACCAGAAGAAGGGUGCUGGUGCUGGGAGAAAAUACUGAAGCAGAAACAAAGCCAAAAAUUGGAGGUCUUCUCUAGGAAUCAGCAGAGCACGGAUGGUUACUAAAGCCCAGGCGUCGUAUAAGGUCCUUCAGCACUUCCAAAUCCAAGAGGUGAGCAGAGGAAGAGGAGCAUGUGCAGGGGAAAGAGGAAGGGCCAUGAAACCAAUGAAAGGGAGACAGGGAGGACGUUAACCUGCAGAAGUCCAAGUCAGAAAGGGUUCAGAAGUCAGUGGCAUUUAAAGUUGCUAAGAGCCAUGCUAAGUACCAAGAAGUGCUCAAAAGACUGAAUGAAGCAUGAGCCCUUACUGACCCAGGCAAGCACAGAUUUGGUGGAGGGAUUCCAUAGGUUGAGAGUUAGGUCCAGGAGGAGGUAAGGAAGCAAAAUCAGGUUGAGAAAACUCUUCCAAGAGAUUGGAGUGAGGAAAAAAGAGAAAGAGAGAAAAAUCUAGGACGGUAGCCUGAGGGGGUCAUUGUGUUAAGGAAGAGUUUAUUAAAUACCUUAUUAUUCAAGCAUAAACAUUGUGAUAGUAAACUCAAAAAACAUGCAGUUGAGUGCAAAGCUGGGUUGGAAUUCCUCAGUGACUAACUAUACUACCUUUAGCAAGCUACUUGGCUUCUCUGCCUUGGUUUUCUCAUUUGUAAAUUGGAAGUAAUUGUGGUGAUUUAACAGGAUCACCAGCUAUAUGAGAUAAUGAACAAAUAUAAAAGUAUUCAUCCAAGUUGUGCUUUUAAAUUUUUUUCACAAUACCUUUGUUCUAUUUAUUUAUUUUUAUGUGGUACUGAGGAUCAAACCUAGGGCCUCUCAUGUGCUAGGCAAGCACUCUACUGCUGAGCUAUAGCCCCAGCCCAGUGAAUGUAUUAUUGCUCUCCUUCUUCCCUAGUGACUGGUGAACAAACCACACUGUUUCUUAUUUCUCUGCUUUCAUAUUUCUCUUGGAAUGUUUCCUCCCCAUACCAUCAGCCUGGUGAUCUCUCCUGUAACAUCUAAACAAAAGCAACUGUCCUGUUGCUGGUCACUUCCUCCUGCCCUUUAGAGCUCUUGCCAAAGAUGAAGUCAGGCUUUGCCACCCUGGUUCUCCAUUGCCCUGAAUCCACUGCUGCCUGCUCACCUGCACCGCUUAUCUCUGACAUGGAUCUGUGCUGUUUCCCACCAGAAAGGCCAGUUCCUGUACUGAAGAAGAUGUACCAUCUUAGAUAGUUUAAGUCUUUCUGUCUGUAAUUCUAUGAAUUCAGUCUUGGAAUAAGUAGUUCUCUUCUGAACCAUGCUGAGAGACUGCAUCAUCUGCAUUUCUCUUUGAGCUUUUGGUGUUCCUUGGGUGACGGAGUAAUUCUUUGCAACACUGAAAAGCUGGAGGUGCAGCUCUCUGUUGCUGCCUUCCAGUGACAAAUGUGUUCUGCCCAUGCCUUGGGCAAAUGCUUCCUCCAAAAUUUCACCUCCUCCUACAGAACUCCAGCCAUGGAGCUGGAUAAGGAAUUGUAUGGACGGAAAGCCAAGUUGUGCUUCUCCCUUCCAGAUUCCGCAGCAAUUUGCUCCUCUGUGGUCAUAUCUGUAACCCAGGCUGAGUCUUUUCUGUACAUUCCAUGAUCACUUUGUUUCUGCAGCUGGGUCUGCUUGCUGUAUUCUUAGGUUUUGUUGCUUAACUCUUUCCUGCCGUCUUGCAUGUGAUGACCAUGAUUCGUUGUUAUAAGAGAGGUCUAACAAGGUCAAGAAAGACUCUAACUUUGUAUUUCGUGUAAUGUCUUUGUGUUUUCCUUCUUUCCAUAUAGCCUGAUUUUUUACAUCUAUUUAAAUAGAAGAAUAAAAGUCUGAUGUGUUUAUACACUUGGAGUUUCUCCAUCCAUCCCUCCCACUUGGGACAAAACUAAGUGUGAAUUUUUCGCCGAGCUCCCAUUCCCUAGAAGCUGGAGUGCAGAUUGGAGCAGAGGGUUAAAUCCUGGCAAUUAAUAACUUUCACUUUUGCAACGAUUGCAGCUCUGGAGUGGCUUGUUCAGUAGCUGUAGAUUACAGCAGUUCUAUAGAGAAUGGGGUUGAGAUGUUACUAUUUUGAUGAUUAUUUCAAAAUUCUGCCACUGAGAGAUCAUUGCUUAGAAACUGUGGAAAGAAAUGGAUAAAUAGAAGAAAGGAUAGAUAGAAAGGUAGAUGGAAAGAGAAAACAUAGAACACAUUUCCAAGACCUGGAAUAUAUUUCCAAGACUAUUUUUCUAUUUAAAUGUGUUUAUUUCCUGAUAAGCCCUUCUUUGCAUUCUGGAAGUCUCCUGGCUGCUGAUGAGGCAGAGUCCGGAGUGCACAGCAUGGAGUCUGGAGUGUAGCAAGAGCAUAAUAAAUGCUUAUCCAGGGGACUACUGCUCCAUUUGGCCUGCUCAAGCUAGAGCCAGCUCCUCUGUGCUCUGUCCUUGUCAACAGACUUUCCCAACCACUGAGGCAAACCAGAGAAGGCUGAUGGAUUUCACCCAAAGUUGUUAAUCUGUUAACAAUUGGCUGUAAAAGUAUGCGUAUGGAAACAAACAGGAAAACUAAAAACCAGAUUUGCAGUUGCAGUGUAAAGAUAUAAUUGUCAUGCGUUAGCAAAAAGAAAGGCCUCUCACAGAUUGCAAAUGUUAUUUUAAUACAUAAGGAAAAUGCACUGGGUUUAAUGAAUGUGCUGUGACCAUCAGCAAAACGGAAUUUCAGAUUUGAAUCACUAAACCUAUUUUUUUUUUUUUGGUCAUUGCUGCUAUUCUUUUUCAUCUCAUCUUCUCCUCCUUUUUUUUUUUUUAAUUUUAAUCAUGGGGUCCUGACAAAUUGAUCAUGUAUUUACACCUCUUACUCAUUAUGGGACCUUGGGUCAUUUACUUAACUCUCUAUGUCUUGAGUUCCUCAUUUGUAAAAUGCACAUAAAAAAAUCUACAUUAGUUGGAUGACUGGAUGGGAUAAUGUGUUCAGAAUAUCCUCUGUAGCGCCAGGAACACAGAACAGGUAUUAACAGCAGGACUUUCUGCCACAGCUGCUGCUGCUGCAACUGCUUGGUAGUUGAUCAGGGUUCCCUGGAGACACAGAACCAAUAGGAUGUGUGUGUGUGUGUGUGUGUGUGUCUCCCCCCCCCCUCUACACACACACACACACACACAGAGAGAGAGAGAGAGAGAGAGAGAGAGAGAGAGAGAGAGAGAGAGAUUAUAGAAUUGCUCCUGAUUAUAGAGGAAAGCAAGUUUGUCAUUUGCAGGGUGGGUCAGCAGGCUCAAGACCCAGGACAAGCCUAUGUUACAAUUCAAGUUUAAGCCCAUCUGCUGCACAAUUCAGUCCUUUGUUCUAUUCAGGCUUUCAACUGAUUGGAUGAGGCCCACCCACAUUAUGAAAGCCAAUCUGUUUUACUCAAAAUCCAUUAAUAUGAAUGUUGAUCUCAUCCAAGAGCACCCUCACAGAAACGUCUGUAAUAAUUUUGAUCAUGUAACAGGGCACCGUGGCCCAGCCACAUCAAUAUAUAAAAUUAACCAUCCCAGUCCUGUUUUCUUUAUUCUCCAAUACUAUAUCAGAGGACAAUAGCCUUUGACAGUUCUCUCUUUUUCUACUUUUGUUUCCUCCUGAAGAAUUUAUGGGCAGUAGCAAGAAUGUUUAUAAGAUAAAAUCUAGAUCCCUUCUCUCAUGUGCUUAAAUCCCUUAAUGACCUCCUACUGCACUUAGAAUAAGUGCCAGCUCCUUAUCAGAGCUAAUAAGGCAGUGCUUUGCCUGGCCUUCUCUGACCUCACUUUCCCAGAACCUCCUGCUGUGAUGCUAGAUGCUGUGGUCGACCAAGCCUGAAGUGCCAGUGUUUCAUACAAGGAGGGGUGUAUAUCCUACUCACACUGGUAGGCAGCCUCUGACUGACAUAGCUCUCCAAAGUCCCUGCCUUCUAGUAUCAACCCUUUCCCUUGAAAGUGGACUAGAUCAAGUGACUUGCUUCAAGCGAGCACAAUAUGGUAGGAGUGAUGGGAUGUCAUUUCCAGGAUUACAUUACAAAAGAUGGUGACUUCCAUCUUGAUAGAACUCUCUCUGUGGUUCCUCAUGCAGGCUUGCUCUUUGACAAGGGACAAAGCAGCUUCUGGUCACCCGAGGAAAACACAGAGGCCUGACAUCUAACAGCCCUGGAGAAACUGAGUCUUGCCAACAACCACAGGAAUGGGCUUGGAAGCAGACCCUUCCCCAGUCAAGACUUCAGAUGAGGCCACAGCCUCAGGCUGAUCCUUGAUUCAAGCCUAUUGAGAGACCUUUAAGCAGGAAUUGGACUAUGAUGUGCUCAAUUUCUGACUCUCAUAACUGUGAGAUAAUAAAUGUGUGUUGUUUUUAGCCCUAAGUUUGAGAGUAACCUGUGACACAGUGGUAGACUGGCAGAUAACUGAUGGAGGAACUCUGCUUCAUGCCAACAUUUAGGAACCCAGACUGAUGGAGAUUCUAUUGUUUUCAUCGAAUGACUUCAAGGUCCUUUGGUGUCAGCAUCCAGGCAGCAGUUGGGGGAUGAGAAACAGUGGAGGACCAAGUGUGAUGAGGAGGCUAGCCUGAGAGACGCAGGUUCCCUUUAGUCACACUAAGUCGCAUGCUCUCUCUUAUCUAGGUGAAAUGUAGCCAGCCGCUGGCUGGGCAUCCACUUCCCAUCCACAAGUCAAUAAUGUAG
rnacentral:lncRNA from 1 species